rnacentral:lncRNA from 1 species
AUUGCAGGGGGCUAGUGAUAAUGGUGAAGAUAAUUAUAAUGAUGAGGACUCAAAUUCACUAGGUAGUUGGAAAAACGGAGUUCAUGGGAUAUCUGAAUCCGACCCGGAAGCUUCUAGCAGUGGCUUGGCCCCUAAAUCCCCCUCUGUAGAGACUCAAAGUUCUCGAAUGUCGUGGGCCGAUAUGGCGCAGGAAGACGAGCUAGAGGAAGAGGAAGAGCGUGAAUUGAGUAAGCGGGUGGUGAAUGUAAAUGCCACAACUGGAGAGUUGAGGAUAACGAAGCCUACAUUGUCUAGGGAGCAGAGGGAGUACAUUAGGUUCAUGAAUGUAAAGAGGCAGAAAGAUUUUAUUUGUUUGGAGAGGGUCAAUGGGAAAUUUGCUAACAUUCUGGAGGGACUUGAGCUUCAUACUGGUAUCUUUAGUGCGGCGGAACAGAAGAGGAUAGUUGAUUUUGUUUAUUCGCUCCAAGAGAUGGGCAAGAAGGGUGAAUUGAAAGGUCAGUCUUUGCUUUUGGAAUGCCAAUACAGUGUGGUAUUCCUGUUGAUAUUUCUUGCUGUUUUUGGACAUUUGCUUUAUACAUCCAGUUUUUUAUAGGAGUUUUCUAUGUAUGCUAAUUUGAUACAUGAGCUUUAUGUACUAAAUUUCCAUACAUAGAAAAGCAUAAUGUUUUUAUUGCCUAGCUAGAAUGUAAGUAAAGACGUUCAAACUCUAUAACUAAGUUAACUUUGCAGGGUUAGAUCUUAUUACUUACUGCACAUAAUGUCUUUGGUUGCCUAUUAUAAAAUUAUAUUUGUUGUGGCCCUCAAGGUAUAUUUAGUAAUCAUUUUAGUUGUAAGUUGGCAAAAAUACUUUCUAUGUGGUAUAUGCCAGGAUAAGAUUCCCCCGCUGUUUUCUUGACGAGUUGUAAGUUAUCUUUAAUGUAUUGUUGAUACAGGAAAACAUACAAAAUUUAUUAUUUAGCUUAAACUUGUUUUUAUGCUAGUUAAUUCUGUUACAUGGAACUUUUAGUAUAUCCUUUUAAGUUUUUUUUUUCUUUUCUGAAUUUGAUUUCCAGUUCCAUUCUAAUAUAUUGAAUUUUUUUUUUUUCUUUUCUUAUUGGGAAAUGUAUAUACUGUUUGGCUAACCUAUUCUGAACUUGUUGCAGCGCGUACAUAUACAGCACCCCAAAAGUGGAUGAGGGGCAAGGGACGAGUAACCAUUCAGUUUGGUUGUUGCUACAAUUAUGCAGUGGUAUACUUUUCUGACUAUGGCAUCCAUAUCUGGUGACCUUAUAUCCUAUUUGACUAUUAAAUUUUGUAGAGAUCAGCUAAACUGUGAUUCUGGUGGAUAUCAGUAUAAUUACCGAAAUAUGCUCAAAGGAACUAUAAAGUGCUAGUCAUUUUAGAUGUUGCAUUGCAUCUGAUGUGCUAUGUUGGUUUCAGGAUAAAAAUGGUAAUCCACCUGGUAUCCUCCAGAAUGACGUAGUAGAUCCUAUACCUCCUCUUUUUAAGGUGAUCAUUAGGAGGCUGGUAAAGUGGCAUGUGCUUCCGCCGACCUGUGUACCUGAUAGUUGCAUUGUCAAUAUAUAUGAAGAAGGGGACUGUAUACCUCCGCAUGUUGACAACCAUGACUUCCUUCGACCUUUUUGUACUGUUUCAUUUCUUAGUGAGUGCGACAUACUUUUCGGAACAAACUUAAAGGUUAUUGGUGCUGGCGAGUUUGAUGGUUCAUUUGCAAUCCCCUUGCCUGUUGGGUACGUAUGCCAUCCAUAUUUGUGCCUGUGCAUUCUGUGCCCUUGUUUAGCCUCUACCCGUUGUUUUCAAUUACAUUUAUCCAUCACUCCUGUGUUUAGAAAUGUGGCUGUUUCGUCUGUUAUGCGAUUAGGGGCCGUGAUUUGAUGUUUGCUUGUGUGGCAUCCUCUUGUUUUUUGCCUUUUGCUGUUCCUUUGGUGUUUUGUUCUUGAGGCAGCAGUUUUCUCUUGUUUUGUGUUUUCUCUUGUGGAUCCCUUACCCACACCUUUUUUGUUUUGUUACCCUAUUUUGAAUAUAUCAUUUCUAUUUAUAUAAAAAAGGGCAUUUAUUUAUAUUAAAGUUUUAAUAUUUGCAUCAGCCUUUUCUUGGAUUCGAAAUCUUAACAAUCAGCCUUUUCCCAUGCAGAUCUGUUCUGGUUUUAAAUGGAAAGGGGGCUGAUGUGGCUAAGCAUUGUGUGCCUGCAGUACCUACAAAACGGUAAGAGCUAAAACAAUGCAGUAUAGUUCUUGUACUAAUGAUUUAUGUUCAGGCUAUUUACCUGCUCCUUUAUUGUAUGUCUUAGGAUAUCUAUCACAUUUAGAAGAAUGGAUGAAUUCAAACGGCCCAAGGGUUAUGCUCCAGAACCUGACUUGCAGGAUAUUCAACCAUUGUCCUAUGAAGAGGACAAGAUAAUUAGGUUAAAUACUCCUAGAGGCGAACGUCAGAGACAGUCAACUAGAAGAGUAGGUAACUCAGAAAUGAGGGGAUCUACAGAAAGAAGUCACGUCCACCCAGAGCCUCAUGACUCAACCUGGAGUCGACGCGGAUCUGGAAUGAGGUGGAACCGGGGAAGGGGGGUCAAUGUGAAUUUUGGGGGCUAGUUGAUGAUGGGUGCUUCAUUGUCAAGUUAAAGUGUUGCAGUUGGGCCAUUUCAACAUUUGGAGGGCUAAAUAUUGGUUUUUGACAUGUGGUCGUCAGAUGAGUUUGUCAUCAAGGUUGUUACAUAUUCAUAUUCCGGAAGAGCUGUAGGAAAAGGGUCUGAUUGGUUUUGUAUCUUUCUACAUCUAUUUAGGCUUGUCAACUGUGCUUUGGUUCAUUCUUUUUCCAAGAGCCAUAUGUGUGCAUUUUUUAGUAUAGUAUAGGCUAUAGCUGAAGUUCAGAGCAAGCGGCGAAGACGGUGGACAAAAUGAAACUUGCUGGCUUGAAUGCCACCUCAAUUUUAUUAGGAUGCUUUACUUAUAAGCAACUGGUUGCAUAAUUAGGGUAGCACUAUUGGGUUUGUGAGUUUGAAACAUGGGUGAUUUGUACCAUAUAUUGGAUCAUCAACCAACUUGAAGCUGGUUGUUUUUGUAGCAUAUUGCUACUUUUUAAUAUAUCCUAGCGUUGAUUGUAUGGUCAAAUGGGUGUGCUCUUAUUAUUCUUUGAUGAUCGAGGUUAAGUUUAGGAAUAUCUUUAGAUUAUUGGACCAUGAGCAUAAACAAGUGAAGAUUAAAAUACUCAUCAUCACAAAAUAAAACCCAACAAGAACAAGUGGGAAAAUAUUACUGCUUAAAGCUGUUUAUUGCAUGAAUUUCUAAUCUUGGUUUUCCUCAAUCCUCCCGAACCCAAGUUCCAAACUUUGAGAUUGUGGUCCACAGACCAUCCAGUCAAAAACUAUGGAGAAGCCAUUAUUUUUUUCCCCCAAACAAAAGAAAAUGUAAAAACAAGAUGAGAGAGAAGUUUGAACGCAACAGUAGUGGCUGGUUGGGGUGGUCCAAUAACCCACAAAUGCUUCAUUUACAUGCCAACCCUGAAACCCCAAAAGGCCUAACCUUUGCAUCAAUUAUGCAAGGUGGGGUCCACUCUAUAUAUGACCCUAGUGCUAUAGAAACAAAGCAUAUUAAACCACAUGAAAAGGCAACUGCGCUGCCCCUGCCAUCAAAACUUUAGACUUCAGAGGCAAAGUGGCAGCAGCCUAGCUAGCUAGCUAGCUAGCAAGGAAGCAAUAUCAUAUAUAUUAUAUAUAUAUAUAUAUAUAUAUAUGCGUGCGUGUGUGUGAGAGGGCGUCUUAUUAACUAUUCUAAGCAAAGUUUCUUGUAUUCAACAUAUUUAAAACGAAAUGCAUGUUUAUAUAUAUAUUUAUGGGUUUUCUUUCUAUUUCCCUUAUAAGAAGCAAAAGAAAAAAAAUUGAAUGAAUUCAAGGAGAGAGAGAUUAAAACUUGAGGCUAGGGUUCUUGCUCUAAAGAGAUGUAGAUGCAAGUCUCUAUCUUGGACUUAAGAGAAAGAAACCAAAAAGAAAAUUAAUGAGACUGUAUUAAGUAAUAGGGUUUUCUUUCUAUUUCCUUUAUAAGAAGCAAAAGAAAAAAAAUUGAAUGAAUUCAAGGAGAAAGAAAUUAAAACUUGAGGCUAGGGUUCUUGCUCUAGAGAGAUGUAGUUGCAAGUCUUUAUCUUGGACUUAAGAGAAAGAAACCAAAAGGAAAAUUAAUGAGACUGUAUUAAGUAUAGAGUCUAGAGAGAGAGAGAGAGAGAGAUGGUAGACAGUGAUGAUAUAAUUGUGAUGUAUCUUGAGAGAUAUGGGAAGAAAAUAACACCCAAAGGAUGAUUACCCGAAAGAAAAGGGAGGGUGGCACAGCGGCUGUGCACACUAAGGUCACUCAAUUAUGAGGUAAGCAGCUCAGGAUUUUGGAUAAGAAGAGGGACAGAUAUGUGCAACUUCACUGCCAAAUCAAAGUCUAAAAGUUGAUCAAAGAAAACAAGACUGUGACUAUUUGGACAAAGGAACAAAAACCCACAUCUCCUUUCCUCCCCUCCUCCCUGUAGGCUUUGGCUAAUUGGCUAUUUGUCUUGAGAGAGAGAGAGAGAGAGAGGCUCAAAGUCCCAAACCCCAUGUAAAUGCAUGAUAAGGAAAGGAAAUCUCAUGAUGAUAGUGUCAAAAUCAAACAUAUUAUGCAAUCUGAAAAAGUUGAGUUGAGAGAGAGAGAGAUGUACAACAGUCAGAAUUAUAGAAAAAAGGAAUGAGACUGGUUGAAUUCAAGGAGCUAGCUAGCUAGAGAGAUUGAAUGAAUGUUCUCCAUUUGCCCAAAAAUUUAGUGUAAAAAGACAAAAUCUAGCAACUAGCUUAGACACAUAAUCAUUUCUGAAUACUCACACAAAACACAUUAACAUGGUGGAUUAAUCUUUUAUUUUCAAAGACUAGACGUCAUGUGUGAUUAAAGAAGAACACACAUAUUACUUAUUAUUAAUGAGAACAAUAUUAAUUCCGCAUAAAACGCAAACCAAGCUGGGGGUGUUUAUGGGUUUAAGGACCACAUGCAGAUUGCGUGUGUAUGGGAAGAGAAGAGUUAAGAGCUAAGACCUAAGAGAGGAGGGAUGAUGGGUGGUACAAACAAAGCGGCAGUGGCAAAGAAUGAUGAAGCUUUUGAUGAUGAUCUCUUCCUCCUUCUUCUUCUCCUCCUCCUCUGCAGACUAUAUGCAUGAAAAGCUUCAGAAACCAUGACACAGAGCAUAUUAAAUGCUUUUUGGCAUUUAUUUUGGGGCGCGUGCACUGUAGCAUAAAGGAUUGCAGGCAUCAUGAUUCAUGACAAUGGAUUCUCUAGGUUGCACUUUAUUUACUAUGUGAUAUUUGGUCUGUCACUAUUCAUGUGAAUAGCGGCAGCCGUUGCAAUUUUAUUUUCAUCGGACGCCUUAGAUGCUGCCACGUGUCUUGUAGCAGUGGAAAACUAAUUUGAAAAGGGCACUAACGCCAGCGUGGCGUUAGUAAACCUAGGCAACAGCACGGGUCGGAUCUACCUUUGGGCUUACCUGGGUUGAUGGCCCCCACAUCUUGCCCGGACUGCUUUAUGCGCGUUAGAAUCGUCUCGCGAGCCUAGGGCCCCUCCUGCCCGGGCCAAACUGCUGCGGUGGACUUAGCUCUAAUAAAUCACUUCCUACUUAGAGUUUGUGUGCUUUUGCUUGUGCAACACAACUUUUUUAUUUUAGUAGUCUUUCUUUCAUUGUUAAGGUGUGAUUGAGAAUUGCAGUGUCUAAUAACAGAAACGCUUUUUUUAUUGUUGUUGGAUUCAAAUGGGACAGAAGGGUUUUUGUUUUUGUUUGUUUGUUAGAUAAUCACUUUUAGUACUUCCUAAACAACCACCUAGGCUCGUUUUGAGUGUUAGAUCGUCAUAUCGUGAAUUUAAACUAUUACUAAUCGUAUUAACUUUUGUCGUGUGAUUCAGAUUCAUUAUUUUGAGUGCCUUUAUGAUAUAGAAUUCUAAUUUAUAACGUGGGAAACUAUUUGAUACUUUUGUUUAUACCAUUGUUGACCAAAUUAUUUCAAUGCUAGUAAAAGUAGUUGUCCAAAUGUAUGCUCAAAGUUGGAGUGUGCUUCAUAAUUGGACUAAUAGCAACUAAAUCUCUUGAUUUGAUGGUGAAAUUUGGUCCGUUGUCGUGUUCAAAUUCAAACUAUGAAUUGAGUUAUAUGGAGUGGCUUUGACUCCCAUCUUUCUCUAUUUGUUCUUUUUUGGGUGGGUCGCCAGGGAUUUUCUCCUUGUGAUUCUAACAUUCUUAUUGUUGAUAGCUUAAAGAUCAUAAAUUUGAUCUUUGUUUUCAUAAUGUCAAAAGCAUAAUUUUCAAUCAAAGUAAGUAUGACUUACAUCAUUACAUGCAUGCAUAUGUUACCUCAACAUGAAAAUUAACAGUAUAUAAAUAUGCAGGCAACCAAUUGGGGAGAACAAAUUCAAAAGUAAUGCAUAUUAAUAUAUAUUUACAGACUGGAAAAAUAAAUUUUUCUGUCAAGAAUCGGAGAUUUGAUUGGCACAAGUAGGGGUAGGAGGCUCUAUAGCUAGAAGCUGUGAGUAAUUUGCAUUGAUUAUUACCAUGCUGUAAUUGGCUCAGAAGUAGUGCAAACUCUCCACUUAUAUAUAUACAUAUAUAUAUAUAUAUAUAUUCCUCAAGGCUGUAAAUAUAUGUAUUUACUCUACCCUCCCCAGCUCAGGCCAGAUUAUUAUACCCAAAUAAUCUAGGCUUAAAAGGGGGGAUAGCAGAACCAAAAACAUAGAAACCCUAAUGGCAAAGAGCCUCAAGUACAGUUUGAAACCUAUGUAUAGGGUAGUUCAUCAAUUUCAAAUGACAGUUUUGCCCUUGACAACCCUAUAGGUAAGUACAAGAAUAUCUUGUGGUUCUGGCUAUGGCUAAAUCUUGGCCUGGUUUUGUUAUCAGAAAAAAGAAAUAAAAGGACUCUAUGAUCUCCAUUAAAAGAAGAACCUCUAAAUCACACAGUACCACCAUCAUUUUUAUGGUCAUUCAUUCAUUCAUUCAGAAUCAGAAGCCUCUUUCUUCUUUCUUUCUUUCUUUCUUUCCAAUCCAUUAUAUCAUCACUUCAUAUCAUGCCACCCCACAUUUUAUAUUAUAUUAUUCUUCUCAUCUCUCUCUCUCUCUCUCUCUCUCUCUCUCAAAGUGCAUCAUUAAUAAUUUUUCAUAUAUUCUGGUCAUGCCUUUUCAACCGAGUAAUUCCCACUGAUACCCUCCCUUUCUAAGCCCUCUUUUGUCCCUUCCCUUUUUAUGAACCUCCUCUCUGUCAACUUCAGUCUUUCUCUCUCAGAUAUUUCUCUGAUUUCCUCUCUUCAUAUCUCCAUGUGCCCCUCCCCCAUCUUAAUUAUAAACCCAUCUUGAUCCCCAAUCCCAACAUUUCAAUUUCAUGCAUUUCCUCUCUCUCUCUCUCUCUCUGCGGAUCACUGUUCUCAUUUUUGUUUGCUUCCCUUUGUAAUUUUCUUCCUUCCAAGCCCUCUCAAUGGAACCUCAACAAACCCAACAACAACCAAAUGAAGAUGGCAGCAACAAAGGGACUAGUAGUGGUACUAAUUUUCUGUGCAGGCAAAGCAGUACAAGGUGGACACCCACAAGUGAUCAGAUUAGAAUAUUGAAGGACCUUUACUACAACAAUGGUGUGAGGUCCCCAAGUGCAGAGCAGAUUCAGAGGAUCUCUGCUCGGCUGAGACAGUACGGCAAGAUUGAAGGCAAGAACGUUUUCUAUUGGUUUCAGAACCACAAGGCUCGUGAGAGGCAGAAGAAAAGGUUCAUUGAUGUACCAGCCCCACCCAUCAUGCAAAGAUCAGGGCUUGGGAUUAAUAAUAAUAAUGCUCCUACUGCUUAUGAACCCAUUAAUCACAGCAACAAGUACCCCAACAGUUCUGCUUCUGCUGGUAAUUAGUUGAUUAAACAACCAACCCUUUUAGCUAAUUAAAAAAUUAAUUACCUUCUCCCCUCCCCUUCUUUCUUUCUUUUUACUAUAUUUGGGUGUUUUUUAUUUGUAGGGGUUUCUCCUUCUUCAGCUGGUGUGAUUGCUGUUGGGCAAAUGGGGAGCCAUGGCUAUGGAUCUAUGACCAUGGAGAAGAGUUUUAGGGCAAGUAUAUAACAGGAAGUUAUUGUGUGUCUUAGUUGCUUAAUUACAACUUGACCACCUUAAUUUUUUGCACCCAUGUGAGCACAGUGCAAGCUUAAUUUACUAUAAUCUACUCAUACAAAAACAUCCCACAUCCAGCCACUGGAAAUUUUCUAUAUUUAGGAAGAAACCCUUUGGCCCCUUGUUUCCCUUUCAUGACCAAAUUAAAAAAACCCCAUUUCUCAAAUCAAGCCAAACUAGUUGAAUUUACAGUCCACUCUAGGACUGGUACUAAAAUGAAAAAACAGUUUGAGUACUUUUAACAAAUGUGAAAUUCAUUAACCCAUCUUCUCUCUUCUUCUUUUUUCUUCCUUUUUUUUUUUUGAAUUAAUUGCAGGACUGCUCAAUAUCAGCUGCAGGAGGUACUAGUAGUGGUCAUGUUGGUGGAUCUAAUAAUAAUAUUGGUCACAACUUUGGAUCAUGGGUUGGUGUUGAUGCAUAUUCUUCACCCUACACUCUCUUUGACAAGAGAUCAUCAUCAAGACAAGUGUUUGGUGACCAAGAAAAUACGAUGGAUGAAGAAGAUCAUGAAUACCAAGAAAACCUGCAGGGUUCCCCAGAGAUUGAAACCCUCCCUCUCUUCCCCAUGCAUGGUGAAGACAUCCAUGGCUUUGGCAACAUCAAGUCCACCUCCGACGGCUACUACUCCGGCUGGUACCGCUCCGACGACGGCAACAAUGGCCGCACUUCCCUUGAGCUCAGCCUCAAUUCCUACGGCCACAUGACCCGUGAUUAUUUCAGAUCAUAUUAAUCAAGACCAGACUAAUUAAUUAGUAUCCCCAUGUUAAUGUUUAUGAUCUUAUAUCAGCUUGUAAGUAUCUGAAUGGCUACUACUAAUUAUGUUUGCUUAACUACUAUAUGUCAAUGGGUAUUUGACACGUGUCAUGCAAAGAACUUAAUCUGCUGAUGAUUAUCUUGCUUUUAACUUUUAGUUGUUCCUAUUCCCAAGAAUAUUCCAUGGUAAUUAUUUGCUAAUUAAGAUGCAUGGAGUCUCAAUAAUAUAAUAACAAUAAUAAUCCCAUGAUUCUUAAUUAAAAUGCAAGAACAUGAUCCGAUGGUGCAGAUUUUAACUGCUGGACGGUUUGCAGUCACCUUCAUUGGAUUAAAUAAUGCAUUAAUAAAAGGCCUGUUCAUUUUCAAGCACAUAAUAAUAAAUAAAUAAAUAAAAGUUAAAACUGCAGCUAGACUAGAGAGAUGAAGAAGAUCAAUUUUUGACUAGCUUGCUGUGCUAGCUGUGACGUCAUUUGUCGACAGAGAUUUUAAGUGUGGGGCCCUUGAACUUGAAGGGAACUACGGUGGGUUUACGUUAGGUUUUGGAGUUGUCAAGGUGGGUUGUGUUUAUGUUGUUCUGGUGGGUGUGGGCAACGGGCAUUGUCGAAAAGAUUUGCCAAUGAUAUCAAAUGGUGUACAAAGGAAAUAUAGAAAGAUAUGCUGUUAGGGCAACAAUGAUGAACGUGUGUGAAUGUAUUUUAUAUGCAGCCGUUUUUAUAAAGUAGCUGGGAGCUAGUGGUAAGUGCGAGGAGGAUAUAUUUUGAAGUUUGAACCUACUUUGGAAAUACCAAAAUAUUCUUCUUCUUUUCCUCUUUCUUUUUUGUAUAUAUAUAUAUAUAUAUAUGAUAUGAAGCAAGUUAUUUUAUAUAUGCAUUAAAAUAAAUCCAACAAUCAUGAAUAAUAUAAGUGUUGAAUCUUGGAAAGUGUUACAUUUCAUUCGUAAUGUGUCUUAUUUUUGACUUUACAUUAAAUUUUAUUAUUUGAAUUGAUGUUCAUGCCUUUUACUUAUUCAGUAUAAAAAUAGUAAGUUUCGAUGCCUAAAUAUCUCGGUAGGCUUCCCAGUCGGUUUUUCACGUUCAGUUAAUCAGUGAACUUUGGUAUUUCUAUAUUUUUUGCCAGCCCUAGCUUUGAGUAUAUAAAUAAAUGAUAUAUUUCUUAUACCAUUGGAUUUACAAUCACUUAGAACUUUGACGAGUGUAAAUGGCGUCUUCUUCACAUGGGUACGAAAUGAGUUAAACAAGCAGAAAUGAAAUGUGUGUACAAAUGAACGUGACAUGAGCCAUACGACACAUUCACAAAGACAUUCACCAACAGAAAAUAUAUUCACUCUCCAUCAGUCCAUAUACAAUCACAAUUGGGUUCAAUUUUUCUUGCGUCUGGUAGAGCUCAGCUUGUGGACAGCUCUAUAAAUGAGGUCCCCAUCAACAAGAUUUUGGGUGGAUGCAUUCCUUUUUCUGGUUUGACAGAAGUUCAAACUUUAUAGCUUAGGGCUGACCUUAAUUGUCGUUUAGAGCAUACAAAGCCUCAAGAGGGAAAAAAAUAAAAAAACAGAGAGCAUGAUCUCUUCGAAGAAGUAACUAACAGACAAUGCUUCUUGUUCCUGGUUGAUAGAUAUAAGAGAGAUUUAGGUGUGGAUCGAAGAAGAUCUUUAAAGCUUUCUGGGGCUUCAAGUACGUAAUGUCCCUUACCAGCAAAAUGAGGCAUGACAUACAUCAUGCUUUUCAGCCAAUUCUAUGUAAAAGCCUUCAAGGCCAUGGUCCAAGUUGGUUUGCUUGCCAUUUUCAUCGCAACUAUAUAUAUUGCGGUUCAAUAUUUUUUUACCUAUUGGUCCGCAUGGGUCCAUAAGACAUUUUGCUUUACCCGUACGUAUACUAUGUCCACUUACUCACAUUUCCAUAAUCUCUCCCACAUGAGUUUUAUCUUUAUCUUCUUCUCUUGGAAUGGAGAACUUCAGUAGUCUGACCAUAGCUUGAAUUUUAAGUGAAUCUCGAGUUUUUCGGGUGCGGAAUCCACACCAUUCACGGUUGUCGGUUCUCCACGCUUCAAUAGACUACUCUAUAUUGUUGAUAUGUGCAUUGUCUACACCCAUCAACGACUGUCAAUUACUAACGCAUAUAGGAGGUGGGCAUGGUUGCCAUACAGUAAUUCAACAUUAGAAAACGCCUAUUUUGGCACCAGUGUGACUGGCCUCCACCACUUGAUAUCUGAUCUGACAUUUCAUCUUCAUGAUACGAUUUACAAUCAUGGAACAUGCACACUAUGUAAAAUUUGGAAGUGAUAACUUUGUAAAAAAUUUACAUUUAGAUGCCUGACACUGACUUUACAAAGAGCAGGCCAUACGAUCUGGACCUUACUUGCAGAGCAUCUAUAAAUCCUUUAAGAAUCUAUAUUUUGGAUUUAAAAAGAAUGACUCAUAUGUUAGUACAAUUCUCUUUUUCUGUUCACGGGGUCCCAGAAGCAAGGCUGAAUCAUGACAAUAACUCUGGCUGUAACUUCAAGUUUCACUAACAAAUGGACAAUUAAAUGGCACUUUUGAACUGCUUUGCACUAGAAAUUAGGGGGGAGAUGACCGAAAAUUUCUACUUCCUUCCAACAUAAGCUCCCAAUUUAGACAAAUCUGGAAUCCAAAAUGAUAGCUCAGAAGAUCCAGUUGCAAACAUGAGGUUUCCCGGAGCCCAUUUGACAACAGGAGGUUCAUUUUCAGUGCUCAUCCAACUUGUGACCUGGAUAGGUUACAAUCAUUAAUUGUGACUUAGAAGCACAAGGAGAACAAAGAAAUACGAAUGGAUGAAGGCAGAAAAUUAUUUAUCAUACUUCUUUCCCACUCCGAACACUCCACGCAUAGACACUACCAUCACCUGAACCUGCCAAAAGUUUGGAAACCAAUAAAUCAUUUGUCUGCCAGUCCAGCCAGGUUAAAUUAUCAUGGGUGGAAUUCAGGGGUAUGCUAGGGAAAGCAGGUGUUUUUGGGUAAGUAUAUUGAAUAAGAUGUAUGCAUGAAAAUGAAACCACAGCAUUGAAGAAACUAUGCAUUUAAACAGCAAUCAACAAGAUGAUGUCCCAGAGCUUACUCACAUGACACAAGAAAUCAUAAGUGACAAUUAUGUUGGAAUUUUAUACCCACUCAGCACAAUAGGCACAUAUAAGUACAACAGAAAGAAAAAAUGAAACAGAAGACAUGCAUACCUGAUAUGACAAACAUCCCCUCUGGGCUGAAAGAAGCCUCUAAUGUUGAACUGCUGGAGACUGGCUUUACAUUAUAUGUGGAUAACUAAACAAUGACAAAAAAACCAUAUAGAAAGACUAAAUUAUGUAAAGGCUACCAAUUCAAGAAAUUCAAGAAAUUCAAGAAAUUCAAGAUGAUCUGAGUUGGUUGAGAGCAAACUUUUUCAAAUUAAAAUUGAGUUGUUGAGGAGAGCAACUUACAAGUGUGCCACGGAACGAAUCAAGAACAUGAAUAUGUCCAUCUGUGGUUGUUAAAAGCACAAGUCUCCCAUCGUUACUGAACUUUACAACAUUUGCAUCAGACAUAUCUCCCCCAACAGAAAAGAUAUCAAAAGGACCCUAACAAGAUGAAACAGUUUAGACAACCAGAUCAGCCAUGCUUACAUUGUCAUAUACAGAUAAAACAGUUUACACGGCUGCAAAAUUUCAAUUGCCAUAUGCACUGAAAUAUAAACAACUGACCUUUUCAUACUUGCGGGCAUCAAACAUUCUUAUGUAUCCACCAAAGGCAACUGCAAAAACUAGCCCUUGAUCAUCAUAAGUUGUGGCAGGCCUUCCUUGUACGCGUAAGAGACCCUAAAAUACGAACACAGAUUAUAAUCAUUCAAAGAAAGACAUGUAAUAUAAGAAACCCAACCCAAUACCCAUAUGCCAAGGCCCCUACCUGACACUUCUCAGCCCGUUGAUCCCAAAGCAGAACAGUUCUAUCAAGAGAACCGGAGAUGAAGCAGUCUUUGCGAGAACACAAGCUAAGUGAGACUACCCUAAACACAAAAGUUCAGAACCCAAUUUCUCCCAUUAGACAGAUAUGUUCAACUACUUCAGUACAACCCACCCACUUGAGUUUUAAAAAAAUGGCAAUAAUCUCAGAAACCAGACCUGUCAUGGUGGCCUUUGAAAUAACGCAAGUACUUGUUGUCAUGCAAUGAGAGAAGCCUCAAGGAUUCUGAAUGAACCAGUCAUAUAAACAACACAUUCUAAGUAUGCCACACAGUUGACAAACAUAAAUAUCAAACAUGGUAGUUGAGGUAAAGUGGAAGCAUACCAUCCCAGCCAUUUUUGGAAGAGUAUAUAACUGUGGUAGGAUGAGAAGUAAAGCAAACCAAAUCAACUCCAUACUUUUUGCUGUUGAUGGUCUUCAAGCAUGUUGCAGUGGAGACAUCAUAUAAACGAAUCGACUCAUCAUCACUAGCAGUCACUACAUAACUAGUCGCCUUGUGAAAAUCCAACGAACUAAUUCUACCACUCUGAGCAUAAAAGCAAAUACUCAGAUUCAAAUACACAAAGCUCGAAGAAAAUGGUAGUUUUUAUUUAUUUGUUAAAUGAUGAAAACAACCAGAAACAGAGAGAUAAAGUACUUACAUAGUCUCUAAAAGCUAACCCAACUUCCAUGCUUUGAAGAAUUUCCUCUGUCAGCUCCAUAGAGACCUUGUCUUCUCUUUCUGAAAUCCCUUCACAGCAAGAACAAAAAUAGUAAAUAAAAUCAGUAAUUCACUAAUUGACACCAAAUCUAAGCGAAAAAUGUAAAAAAUUUCACACCAGCCAUUGGGAAUCGGUUAAUAUGGUUCUGGGUCUAUCUCAUUCCGGGAAAUUGAAAAUUUCAGUGAAGCCCUCCGCCUCCUGCCUCCGUCUCCAACCUUCGGCAAUGUAGAUGAAAUAGACACAGGGUCGUUUUUCUUUUUCGUAAGCUCGCCAAGUUUGUCAUUGGGUGAGCUCAAGCCCAUAUAUGUGUUUUAUGGACUUUGGACCAGGUUUGUUAGCUCGUAUGCUUUUACUUUUUGGGUCGGAUCUUUUAUUGGCCCAAUGAAUUCUUCUUUAGUCCAUUUAUUUUUAUGGUGAUACCAAUCAUCUAAUUCAAUUCUCAAUAUCAAUUGGAUGAUUGGAUUUGAUUUGAUUUGAUUUGAUUGAAAACAUCACGAAUCUAUAUCUUAAAUAAAUUGAUUUAAAUUAUAUUACUUUCGAACCGAUGCACACCGUUAAAUAUCAUAUGAUAAAAAUUUUCACGAAUCUUAUACUUUCAUUGAUGAUGUUGAAUUUAUGAAAUUCUUUAACAAGUGUCAUUAGUAUGUAUCAAUUUAUAAACAAAGUGCUUUGAGGACCAAAGAUUUUUUACAAACAUUUUAUCUGCUUUUUCUUUUUUUCUGAUUAAAGACAAGCAUCUUAUCAUUGCAAAUUCGAUUCCAUAUGGAACAAACACCAUAUAUAUUGCGUUCUCAAGAAAAGAGAUAAACCACAUAUAUAUAUAUAUAUAUAUAUAGAGAGAGAGAGAGAGAGUUGUUCUCUACUACAGACCCGUAUUUUUUUUAAUGUCCAGACCACUUGUUCUUUUGCCUUCUUUGUGUUAAUAAAUCAACCCAAACACUUGUAUCACUUUUCUUGGUAAAGGUAGAAUAGAAACCAUGCUCUGUCAAUUCUUAAAAGUCAAACAUCAUCACCUCUAGAUUGGGCUUUUCUUUCAUUGGUGGACUGUAAAGAGAAUUUGGAGGCUGUUAUGUGUGCUUUAGUGCCUUUUUUUAAUGAUAAAGAAGAGAAAUGCAGAAAACAAAAUGGAAAUGGUUUCCUGAUCAUGUGAAAAAACAAGUGCACAUUAAGCAAUUCCGGACGUCCACACUAGAGAAUAGUCCUAUAUAUAUAUACAAACAGUUAUUAGGAAAGAUUUAGAUCAUUAAAUCAUUGAUAACUGGAAAAAAAAAAGACUGAGAAGCUUCUCAACAAAAAAAGAAGACAAAUUUAUGAAUCUGAAAUUAAUUCCCUGUAAAUGCACAUACCAAUUUACAAUUCACCCCUAACAAUCUCAACAAACACCCUCUCCCUCUGUAAGAAAAUCUAAAGAAAAAAAAAAACAAAGAAUGGCAUAAACUCAUGAACAAUAUACUCACACAAAUUCAAAUAUGAAAUAAAAACUAAUAAUUGCUAAUAUGUCACAUAACUAGAACUGGUAUAACCACGUCUCGAUCUGCCACGGCAUCAAUGGAGCUUACUAGAACUAGCGGAAGAGCCCCGGUUGCCGUCCUCCGGCGAAGCUUUUUUCUUGAUGAACUCGAUGCAAUCGGCUACUGCCUCGCUGUGGUGAGGGUCAUCAUGCGGACAAUAAUACCGCUGCGCAUCUGGGCUGGAUCGGCCAGCGUGGCUUGUGGACUUGUUGGAGGAGACAGCAGACAGCAUGAUCAAACGGAAAACCGCCUCGCGAAACCGCUCGAGCAGAGUCAUCGGAGACAGGCGUUUGGUUUUGUUGCUGCACGAGUUGACGUUGCUUCUCAUCCUGGGAAUGCAUAGAUGGGUUUUCAUAAUUUUUGCUUUUAGAGUUUCUCAAGGUUUUGGUGUCGUUUUGAACUAAGACAAUAUGAGAGAGGGGUCAAGGUGUUGCUCUAUAUUUUGAUAUGAGAAUCUAAUUGCGUUGCAUGGAACGACAACUCAGAUUUAUAUCUAUACAAGUUUGCUUUUUGGUUGGGUUUAAUACUACGCUAAUCACUUGUUUGAAUCUGCCAUAUAAUGUUUUUCAUGAUGCGACCGGAUCAUCUUUACAAAGAUUUACUCAAAUCAAUAAGUGUUUUCUUUUAAGUCGGUAAAUUGAAAAGAAUUUAGUUAUCUAGUUUUGUAAUAAAAUAAAUAAAUAAACACGGUAUAUUCAAUAAAUAACAAAAAUAUUCACAAUCAUAAUUAAAUGUCUUACGAUUUUUAAUUUCGAGAAAAUUUUAUGGGAAUGAUGCUUGAAUGAAGACUAAGCUCAAAUGAGUGAUUAGCACUAUAUGUAUUAAAUUAAUAAGUCGUUAGUUUGGUUACAUAUUUUAUAUUAAAAUUGAAGUAGACUUCAUAGCCAUGCAUGCAUGAUGCAUGUUACUAGUAUAAAUUUUUUUGUCUUCAUCGCUGCUAGGCUUCACAUGGCUACAUGUGCAUGGUUGUAUAAUUUUCAAUCAAACUAUAAGUAAUGUAUGGUUCCUAUUGGAUUCCGCCGACUUACCGCCCUGGAAAAAUGAAAGUAAAUUCUAUUGUUUUUAUGUGUGCCCUAAUGUAUUUGUUCCACGAAUUUGUGGGAUGGGGGAUGAAUUUCAAAUACAGAAUUGGGCAUGUGAGAGAGAUGGGGCAAAUUAAUUAUGGUACGUGGGGGUCAAUCUCCCCACCAUGCUUCGAAUUGGACUUGCUGUCGGUCUGUUUGUUUGCUCAUAUAUUAAGGGAGUUGUUGUGUUCACUAUAUCCAUCAUUUAAUUAAUUAGGGUCCUCAAUCGGGUCGUCCCGGGCCAUUUCGGGUCUAUACACCCGUGUUUGGGUUAGUCGGAUUCUUGUCGGAUCGAGAUUUAGCUUAUUGGGCUCAAGUAAGCUCAUUUUGAUCAUCGGUUCAAAAGAUGAUUUCUAAUGUGAAUGAAUGUAGCGAUAUAACAAAACUAUUUGUAUCAGAUCGAUUUGCAAUUUACGUUAUUUGUUAUGUCCCUUAACCAUUUGAGCUACAAGUCCCUUACAUAAUGAGAAAUGAGGAAUCGAACCUAGAACCUCAAGGAAAGGAAAAAUCCAACUUAAAACCUCAAGUACAUGAAUAAAUAUUCUUAACCAUUUGAACUAUAAUAUCCUUUCAUAACUUUACUACUUAUGCAAAUAAAGAUGUAAUGAAUAAAUACGAUACAUAUGUCAAUUAUUCUGGUGAUGGUUACAUUUUUCAUAGAGGUGAUGGGUAAUCAUCCAACAAAAGAGAUGGGGUUUGUGGGUUUGUAUGAACUUCAAUUCGGCCUGUACUCAUUGUAAACAGCAUACAAUGGCAAUGCUUCUGUGGCCCAUAUAACAACAUGUUUACAGAAUUCAUGUUGGGCGUAGGCCGAAGCCCGCCUUACAAAUUUACAAAAAUUUGAAGCAAUUUCCUUAUUUAUUAGAAAAAUGAGAGAGCCCAAAUAAAAGAAACAAGUGAUGCCUUAGCUCUGAUUAUUUCAAUAAAAUUGACUGUUAAUGGAAACCCUUUUGCAGGCUUCAUUUAUCAACAACAAACAUUCUUGAAAUGAAUAUAUUUACUUAAUAAUCUCUGCACAAUCUGCUCACGAGAGCCUCAGGCUCUUGGAGACCCCCCACCACCUUCUUGAAUUGCCUUGUUUUUGGCAAAAAACCACCCAACCAGAGGCACCAAUGGCUUCUUCUUGAUUUUCUUGACAGAAGGGUUUCCAACUCUCUCCCCCAAGUCUUCUUUGCUAACAAUGACUUGGGCCAGUGUAGGAGGACUUGCAAAUUUCACAUAUCUUUUCUUCUGCACCAAUUCCUCUGCGUCUUGGCUCAACAUGGUCUUGGUUUCAAACUUCGCGGCGCCAUCCUCAAUGAAUUUAAGGUCGUCUUCUUCAAUCUCAGGAUCAACUGGGUCCUUCUGAUCAAACUCUCUUGCCUUCAAGUACUUGUGCAGCUCUUUCUUUGCACGGUCAAGAUCAUCCCUUAGUGACUUUAUGCAGUAUGCCAUUAUCUUGUUUUCUUCUCUAACUUUCUGAAGAUUUCGCUUUGUUUCUUCAAGCUCAGCUUCCAAGACCCCAAUUGUUGAUUGAGCAGAAGCAGCAUGCCCUGCAGCUCCAAUCUAACAUAGAAAUUGAACAUUAACACUAGAAAAAAAAGAAGUAAAAAUGGUGUUGUGGUAGGAGCUAUAGCUAACCUCUUUGAGCUUGUUGGCAUAUAUUUCUCCAACCAAAACUCUUUCCCCAAACAACAAGACUGCUUCUUUGACUGAUUUGAAAGGUGCUCUGGUGUCAAUCUCUGCUCGGCCCAUGACCACCAAUUUGCCUUCCUCUGUGUUCAUCAUGCUCAAUCAACGCAAGGAAAGGGAAGAAGAUAUUAAUGGUGGAAUUAAUGAGGAAAGGUCCUUUUAAUACAAGUUUCAAAAUGGGGAGCUGCAAGAGAGGAGGUCGUUGGAAAUGGAUGGUGUGGUUCUAGCUUUGCUUAGAGGAAGUUAAGAAGAAAAAAAUAAUGGGGGGGGGGGGGGGGGGUUUUGUUUUGGUUUCCUUGGCGUCCACUUCACUGAAUUUUGUUAAUUGAAGUUGACAAGAGUGGUUGGACUAUCUUGAUCACUUUGUUACUUCUUGGCUUCUUGUUAGAGUUUGGGCUGCUUCCUUCCGUUACCAAUGUGGGUUAAACAAAUCAAUAAGCAUUAACAGCCAAGUAAUUGAUAGAUCACAAAUAUAUACCGCCAAUUAUUAGGUGUGAUGUGAAGUCUCAUGGUACUGCUUUGUCACUUCUUAUGGGUUAAGAGAUAUGGAUUAUGUUUGAAGACAUAAAUGAAGCAAUUGUUAUGAGUUAUCUGAUAAAUGUGGUUAUCCCUAAACUUACAUGUAUUCCAUGUAUGUAGAAGAAUGACUCUUGUGAGCUAUUCAAAAGGUCACUGCUGUUAAAAUAAUUGGAAUAUUUUAUUUUUAUAAAACACUUUAAACUACUUAACUUUAAAGUGAAGUAGGUUUUUUGUUUGAAAAAGCAAUCCCAAACAGAGCCUUAGUUUUUCAAUAUGUCCAUAAAAUUGCAAUGUGAUAUUAUCAAUUCAGUUAUGCUAUAUACAAAUAUAUAUGUAUUAAUAUUAUAUCUUCAAGUAUAAACAUGUCUCCUUCACAUGUUUAUAAAUUGAGUGAAUUAAUAACACUAAACUAAAUAUCUUUACUAUCAAUUUGGAAAUUUAAAAAUAUGGGAAGUAAUAAAUUGAUUUGAAAAGUCAUUCUCAUUAAACUGUUUACCAAUCAUAUAGAAUCAUAAUAGGAAUGAAGUUGAUUCCAAUUAUUACUAUUUACUAAUUCUCAUGAACCGAAACUCUGACUUUUAAAAUGGGACUUACAUUUGUUUGAUUCCCUAUGUGUUAGUAACGUGAAAAAAAUAACUGAUUGAAAUAAUUUCAUUUAUUCUCAUACCCAUUCCUAAUAAGUGACAGUGUUACAUUCAAACACAAAAACUUCUAUGUACACACGGCACUUCCUAUUUUUUCUACCCUUUUUCUCUCUCCAGCCACAGUGGAGAUUAGGCCGUGGUUCGUAAAAUAGUGAGGGUGUUAUUUUGAACACACGAGUCUGGCUGGAUACCACCACCAACAUCAAACACACAAGCCCGACCACCACCACCACGAGUUCCCGACCACCACACCAUAAGUCCACGAUCGUCUGCCCCUAGUCUAGUUGAUGGUUCGAUUGGGUCUGCCCCUAGUCUAGUUGAGUGAACAACCAUCCUCAUCUCAGGGCGCUCUUGGCCUCCGCACCCCAACUUUUAAGAGAGCCAUCCACUUUUGGUAUGUGGUGGAUGCAAACAAAACAAAACAAAAUUCCAAAUGAAAUCUUAAAUAGUGUGGCAUAAAGAGAGUGAAAAUGAGGGAAGGAAGAAGAAAAGAGAAAGGAAAGAAUAUGAAGAAAGAAAGAAAAAAGAAAUAGGGAAGGCAGAAGAAAAGAGGAAGAAAGGAAGAAGAAAAGACAAAGUAGAGAAGAGGUAGAAAGAUAAAAAAGGACACAAGUUUUAGCCUUUAAAAAAUAUUAGAAUUUUAUUUAUUUAUAGGUCAAAAUUUUUAAUUAAAAUUAAAUAUUAGAAUUUUAUUUGUUUUAUUUGUAUUUAUUUUUAUGUCAAAAUCCUUAAUUAAAAUUAAAUAUUAAAAUAAUUUUUUUUUUAGUCGAAUGCAACACCAAACGUAGGUCAGUAUUUUAAUCCAGUUUAAGCCAAUCCGAAAAGCUAAUUCAAGACAAUCUCAAAAUUUAAUUCAGUCCAUAAUAGUCCGUUGUACCAAACCCUCUGUAGGUGUGUGAUGAGCAGAUACUGGGUACAAAUAUAACUUCUCUCCUGGCCUUUUAUCUCAAUAGCAGGUUCCUAAACCCUUUGCAAAUAAAAUCAGCCCAAUAUCUCAAAAUCAGGUCCCUAAAUUAAAUUUGGGCCUCUAACGGUUUCAGAGUCCGUUAAACCACUCUAUAAAACGGCUUUCGUCCCUGAAAACCACUUAACGCAAUUCCCCCAAAAUCUCGAGUCCUCGAGGACACGAUGAGAGAAACAUAGAACACUGUCAGCGUAAAUAACAUAACAUAUAGAGAAAUUACAAGACCAUUUCCCGACCAUCACUCGAAAAACCCUAAUUUCCAACAUUGAAAGUCAAUUUCUCCUCCGUUUUAUCCGUACGAUCUCUUCCAUUUUAGACCAACAGCAGUAAGUAGGAGAGCUCCGGUUGCUUGGAGUGCUUCUUGAAGUAGAAGAAGAAGAGGCUGCAGAGUCGCGCCAGGAGCACUUUAAUCUGAGCAACCAGAGUCUUUGAAAUUUGGUUUCGAAGCUGUGCGUUUCGUGUUUUUCGCGGCAAAGCUAGGGUUUUUUGGUUGCUUUCUGCUUGUUCUACUAAGCCAUGAGUCCGGUUCAGAAUUUCGAGCAACACGCUCGGCGUCUCGUCGAGCUUGACCUCCGUACUUUCUCUCUCUCUCUCACUCUCUCUCUCUGAAGCAUAAUUCAACUAUGGUUUUGAACUCUUAAACCUCCCUUUAGCUUCUGAGCAAAAGUUAUAUAAUUUUGAUAAAAUUUAAUCAAACGAGCCCUUAAUAUGAGAAUCAUAUUCAUCUUCCUGUGCAAAAUAUUAAUUUAUUUUCCAGUAAUGCAGGUCCUAUUGAACCAAGCAUGUCCUUUGUAUUCACACCCAAUAGUAUAACAAAACAAAACAGCUCAAUUUUGAUUUGAUUAAUUAUUGAUUUAACUACGUUUGAACGAAGGUCUUGACGAUGUUCUUGUUUCUUUUGUUCCUUCUUAUUUGGAACAGCAAUUCAGACAAGGCUUCAGAUGGCAAUGGAGGUUCGGGACAGCCUAGAGAUUGCGCACACUGCCGAGUACUUGAAUUUCCUAAGAUGCUACUUUCAUGCAUUCUCAGUGAUUCUUCAGAAAAUUACAAAACCACAGUUCACGGACAAUCCCGAACACAAGCUCCGAAACAUCGUGGUGGAGAUUCUCAAUCGUCUCCCCCACAGUGAAGUACUCCGCCCUUUUGUCCAGGAACUCUUGAAGGUCGCAAUGCAAGUACUAACCACUGACAACGAAGAGAAUGGCUUAAUAUGUAUCCGUAUUAUCUUUGACCUCCUUAGGAACUUCAGGCCCACUCUGGAAAAUGAAGUUCAGCCAUUCUUGGACUUUGUUUGUAAAGUUUACCAAAACUUUAAGUUGACGGUUAACCAUUUCUUUGAAAAUGGGGCGGUGGGUGGGGAAGAUAUCAAGACUAUCGAUACUUCUUUAGAUCAACCAUUGAGUGGUAGUAUCGGCAGUAUCGGUGGUGGUGGAAUUGGGGGUGGCGGUAUUGGUGGUAGUGGGUAUGCUGGUGGUGGGCAGCUUAACCCCAGUACACGUUCUUUCAAAAUUAUAAACGAGAGUCCCCUGGUGGUCAUGUUUUUGUUUCAGUUGUAUAGUCGACUUGUGCAGACCAAUAUUCCUCACCUGUUGCCUUUGAUGGUUGCUGCUAUAUCUGUUCCUGGCCCUGAAAAGGUUCCUCUUCAUUUGAAGACUCAUUUUAUUGAGUUGAAGGGUGCACAGGUGAAGGUAAGCAGGUGUUUCUGUUGAGUUUAUAUGUAUUAAAUCUUACACGAGCAGGGCACUGUUGUUUGUUACACUUGUUUAAUCAUUUUCAUUUUUUUGUCCAACCUGUCCAGGUCUUUUCAUGAGUUUUUACUAAUUUGUUUCUUUUCCAUUGCAGACAGUUUCGUUUUUAACGUAUCUGUUGAAGAGCUUUGCUGAUUAUAUCAGGCCGCAUGAAGAAAGCAUAUGUAAAAGCAUAGUCAGUUUGCUAGUUACAUGUUCAGACUCUGUAUCAACUAGAAAGGUAAAAAUUAUUGUCUCUUAGUUUAUUUUUCUCCACUUGGAUCUUUUUAUUCUUCCGUGAAUGUAAGUCUGAAUCAUAAAUAUUUUAUGAAUACAGGAAUUGUUAGUAGCCCUAAAACAUGUUCUUGGAACAGAUUUCAAGAGGGGUUUAUUUCCUCUGAUUGACACACUAUUGGAGGAAAGGUAACACUGUUGACUCAAUCAUAUGGUGACCUCUAAUUGCCAAAACAAUGAUACAGAAAUUUCAUUGUCAAGCUGAGCUGGAUAAAUGCAAUAUCUUUAUAUAAUGUUGAAAAGAUAUUCUUGUUAGUAGUCUAAAAACAUGUUCUUGGAACAGAUUUCAAGAGGGGUUUAUUUCUUCUGUUAUGUAUUCAUGGUUAAACAAAAAGCAUCAUGUUGAAGAGAUGUAUAUAAAUCUGCUGCUAAUGGACAGAUGAAUACCAAAAUUUGACACGUAGUGUAGAUAAUAGAAUUACUCGUUUAAUUUUAUGGGAACUUUUGCCCCCACCUAAACGAUCCUUCUGCUGGAAAGUUCAUAUUGGUCGCCAUCAGAUUGAAAUAUUUUUUUGGCCGACAUGUUGAAUUUUAGAUUAAAAUAUGUUAAGAUUUUGAAUUUUAUUAGGGAAAGGGCCACGACAUGAUGGUUCUCCCCCCAAUCUGCUUCCCAUGUGAGCAGUUUUUUUUUAUCAUAUUUGUUGUUUUUGAUAAUGCACAACCUUCCAUUGGACAGAACUAUAGUGUUCAUUCCCACAUUUCUACUUUGGAGUUCUUCCUGACUUUUUAACUUUCAGAUACAAAUAAGAAUUAGCUAUUCCUCCUGAACUUAGAGAAGAUAGAAUAUUGUUAUAGCUGACUAUGCUUUGAUUUUUUUAGCCCUUUUCUUCUUUAACCUUUUCAGGGUUCUGGUUGGAAGUGGUCGAGCCUGCUUUGAGACAUUGAGGCCAUUGGCAUAUAGUCUACUUGCAGAGAUUGUUCAUCAUGUUCGUGCGGACCUUUCCUUGUCACAGGUAUUUCCUUUGUAUGAUAUCUAAUGUAAAACCAGUGUUAUCACUGUCUUGGCUUUGAUGAGGCUCAAUCCUAUUUAUCAUUAUACAACUUUCAUUCACUGUGUAUCGUACGGUUGUACAUCUUUAUCAUCAUCCUCCAUGGAUGAAUUUCAGGAAUUACCUAUGUUCACUUGAUUGUUGCACUUCUGCAAAGUGAGAGGAUGAUGAUGGUUUCGUAGUUGAUGGGUGGGAGUUUCGUGGUGAUGUUUGUUUUGCUAGUCUUGUGUCUGUAGUUGGUUUACCCUAUGUGUUGUGCUUAGUCUUAGGUGGACAGUUUGCCCAUCACUCUUUUACUUAGUUUCUUUGUUGUGAAGGUCAUUUUUCCUAUCUAAGAAAAGUUGAUUCAACCUGAAUCCUUAAAGGAACUUUCUUCAAGGUUAAGAUAUACGGCACUUACUGGUUGUCCUGCAUUAUGAUUAUGCUUUCAAAUAAGUCUUUUAUGACCCAAAGUAACCUUCCUUUUGUUGGAUUGAGAAAACACAGAGUCAAUCAAUUUCCAUGUCAUACAGGAGGGUAUAAUGCCUAUAAAGCUGUUGGAGAUCUGAGUGGCAAGAUUUAUACAGUUAUUCAUGCCCGAAGAGUCUUGCUACUACUGUAUUUCAAUUUUAUCCUCUUUAUCAUAUGCUUUUGUUGUUGUCAUGAUUUCUUAUCAAGUUUUUAUAAAUUUGAGAACUGAGGUAAAUACAUGAUACUGUUAGUAUGUACACUGAAAUUGGAAAUUAAAAAAAGGAAGCGACGAUGUCAAUCACAGGAAUUCGUAUGUUGUGGAUUACUUUUGAUUAUACUUCUUCUAUUUCAGGCUUUUAUUUGUUGUUUUCUCUUUAGGCGAUGAACUGCAAUGCUCAAUUUGGGCCUUCUAGAAGAAUAUAUGAAAGGAUAAUCAACCAAUUAACAAAAAGGCAUAAGACAAAGGAUAAUUAACUUAGUUACACAUACUUUGAAUUGUAAUUUAUCUCAAGUGUCAGCAUUUGCUUGUUUAACAGGUUUUUGUGUUUUUUAUUUUAUUUUUCCGUAAUGGUCAGUGGCUCAUUUGGCACUUUGUUUCUGUUUUAAUUUGAUUGCUUUAAAAUUUGAUUUUUGUUGAUGUGUAUCUUCACAGUUUUCAUCAUAACUUAAAUUAUCUUCUAACAUACUUACAUUAUGUGCUGCAGUUAUCCCGAAUCAUAUACUUGUUUUCGAGCAACAUGCAUGAUGCUUCAUUGUCACUGAGCAUUCAUACUACUUGUGCUCGCUUGAUGCUGAAUCUGGUGCAUAUGCUGACUCUAUUCUUCAAGAGAUUUUGCAGUUUUUAUUUUCAUUUGGGUAUUCAGUUAUAUUUAUAAAUUUGUUGGUACACAGGUGGAGCCAAUAUUUGAGAAAGGUGUCGACCAACCAUCUAUGGAUGAAGCACGGAUUCUAUUGGUCUGAGUUGCAAUCUAACUGUUUGCCUAGAAUGGUUUGAAUUGGUAAACUUUAUGAGUUUUCUCUUUCCUUUAGCUUAUAAAUUAUUAUGGUUCUUUGAAGGGGCGUAUAUUGGAUGCUUUUGUUGGAAAAUUUAGUACUUUCAAGCGGACUAUUCCUCAGGUAAUCUUUGACUGCUGUAGAUUUUCUCAACUGCAAGGGUCUCUUCUUUAUUUGAUAUUUUUGUUUCAUGUGGAAGCUUUUGUCUCGUCAUAUGGGCUAUGUAUUAGGAAAUAUUUUUGCUAACCACUUUAACCCAAGGUCUAUUAUCACCACCUUCUUAAUGCUUGACACAUGUCCAUAGGCAUAACCAUGGUUAACUUUUUACUUUGUAUUUAUGGAACCAUGGUUAUGCAUAUGGACAUGUGUCAAGUGUUGACAAGGGUGGUGAGGAUACACCUUGGGUUGGGUUAAAUUGGUGAGCAAAAAUGCUCUCCUAUGUAUUAUACAUAUAUAUAUUGUCUUUGUAUGGUUUAUGUUCUGCAGUAAAGGAGUUUUAUGUUACAUGUCAUAUUGUCUGUAGCUCAAAUAAUUAUCUUCUUGUUUUCCGACAAUGUAUUGAAAUAAUUUGGUUAAUUAUGUAUCGGGAAUGGUUGGUAGUCAAUUGACUGUUAUUAAGAUGCUAUUGGCUUUUGAGGUUCUUUGCAUUUGCUGAAAUCCAUCUUAUCCAGAUGCUAAUGAUCUUGGUUGAUUGAUUGUUGUAUCUUGCUUAUUUGUUGAUACUGACGUGUCUCUGUAUUUCCUGAUAGCUGUUGGAGGAGGCUGAGGAGGGAAAGGACCGUGCUACUCUAAGGUCAAAGCUUGAGCUCCCUGUGCAGGUAGUUUUGACAACUUCUCUUUGAGAUUACUGUUUGUGUAUGCAUAAUUUGUUUUAUGGUUUCUAGUUGUCCGUUUAAUUUUUUCUUGUACUCUCCACCUUUAAUUUUUUUAAUGCUAAAGUACAUCCUUUUUUUUUUUCUUCUAAAUGCUAACUGUAGAUUAUUCCCUAUGUUACACUUUAAAAGGUCAUAAAAAUGGUAUUAAAUAUGUUCAUCAUUGAGGAUUAAGCCGGUGGAUUUAUAAGUACUUUUCAGUUGCUCAUGGAAUCUAAAAGCCUAAAAGCCUUCAAUUUCCUUUUUAAAAUUUUCUGCAACUAUAAAGACAUUCGAGAAGGACGUUGCAGGUUUUGAAGGGUUUAAAAUACUGCUGACAUUAAUGCAUCUAUUAAGAAAGUUAGAUUGACAUUCCUUUUGAUAUGGAAGAAAAUGUAGACAUAUUGGGUGUAUUAGAAGAAUAACUUGAAAAUAGAUAUCCAUGCUUUGAAGUUUGUCUACUUACUUUUUGUCCAAUUCUUUAAUUGCUUGAUUAUAUAGCCACCCCACUCCCUUUCAUAAAACAUGGCAUUUAAAAAUAAAUAAAUUCUUUGGCAUAUCAUUUGUUUGCAGGCAGUUUUGAAUUUGCAGGUCACUGUCGAACAUUCUAAGGAAGUCAAUGAUUGUAAACAUCUGAUUAAGACAUUGGUCAUGGGUAAGUGAUCCUUCGUGUAAAUUUUUUUUUUCUGUGUCUCCACUUAUAGAUUAUAGUAUUACUUGUUUAAGGAAUCUGUGAUUUUAAGUUUCUUACACUUCUGAUAUGUUCUUGAGUGGUAUUGCUAAUUUUUUUUUCCUUCAUGCGCUGAUCAAUCUGUGCUGCAUAUAUUGUCAGGAAUGAAGACUAUCAUAUGGAGUAUUACCCAUGCACACUUGCCGCGAUCACAGGUAUUAUUAACUAUGUCAAUAGUUUGUUCUGACUUGCUUAACAUUUGUUAUCUUAUGCGACAUUUCUGAUGGUUUAAGGUUUCUGCUUCCACCCAUGGAACACACCCACAGGUGCUUGUUUCACCAUCAUCUAAUUUACCAGCGCCUCAAGCAUUUAAGGGGAUGCGAGAAGAUGAGGUAUUUUCAGAUUGAGUUAUGAAUUUUGGGGUUUGUUUUGUGGUUUGAUUCACUUGGUCUGACUUUGGUCUUGGGUAGGUUCGGAAGGCUUCUGGUGUUUUAAAGAGUGGGGUGCAUUGCUUGGCUCUCUUCAAGGAGAAAGAUGAGGAGAGGGAUAUGUUGCAACUCUUUUCCCAGAUUCUGGCUAUCAUGGAACCUCGAGAUUUAAUGGACAUGUUCUCGUUAUGUAUGCCUGAGCUUUUUGAGUGCAUGAUUUGCAACAACCAAUUGGUUCACAUAUUCUCUACACUUCUGCAAGCCCCUAAAGUAUAUCGGCCUUUUGCAGAUGUUUUGGUUAAUUAUCUUGUAAACAGUAAACUUGAUGUUCUGAAGCAUCCAGAUAAACCUGCAGCAAAACUAGUAUUGCAUCUCUUUCGGUUCAUAUUUGGCGCAGUUUCAAAGGCGCCUUCAGAUUUUGAACGUAUUUUGCAACCUCACGUGCCUGUUAUAAUGGAAGUUUGCAUGAAAAAUGCUACUGAAGUUGAAAAGCCUCUUGGUUAUAUGCAACUUCUUCGCGCAACGUUUCGAGCACUGGCUGUAUGCAAAUUUGAUCUUCUUAUGAGGGAUUUGAUUCCUAUGUUACAACCUUGUCUUAAUAUGCUGUUGAUGAUGCUUGAGGGUCCAACAGGGGAAGAUAUGAGCGACCUUUUGCUGGAGUUGUGCUUAACCUUGCCUGCACGCUUAAGCUCAUUGUUACCACACCUUCCCCGUCUUAUGAAGCCUCUUGUUUUGUGUCUUAAAGGAAGUGAUGAUCUUGUGGGCUUAGGUUUAAGAACACUGGAGUUUUGGGUAGAUAGUUUGAAUCCUGAUUUCUUGGAACCUAGCAUGGCUAAUGUAAUGUCUGAGGUGAUUUUGGCCCUAUGGUCUCACUUGAGGCCUGCUCCCCAUCCUUGGGGUGCAAAAGCAUUGCAACUCCUUGGCAAGCUAGGAGGUCGUAACAGGCGUUUUCUGAAAGAGCCCCUUGUACUUGAGUGCAAGGAGAACCCAGAGCAUGGACUCCGUGUGAUUCUUACAUUUGAGCCUGAAACCCCAUUUUUGGUGCCAUUGGAUCGAUGCAUUAAUCUUGCUGUGGUAGCUGUUAUGCACAAAAAUGGUGGAAUUGAUACUUUCUAUCGAAAACAGGCUUUGAAGUUUCUUCGUGUUUGCUUAUCAUCUCAGCUUAAUUUGCCAGAAAAGUUUACCGACAAUGGAUGCACACCUAGUCAGUUGUCAACUUUGUUAGUUUCUGCAGUUGAUUCUUCUUGGCAGCGGCCUGAAACAUCAGGAAUAAAGGUUGGUUUGGUUAAUGUUAUUACUUUGUAAAGUGCUGAAUGCUGAGCCUGCUAGUGAUUUGAACCUCAAGAUAAUUUUAUUUAUUUAUUGCCUUUUAUUGUAAUUUUAUUCACUGUUGGCUUUGAAGUUGGAAAAAUGAUGCUCGAACGUUGAUAAACAUUUUUGGGAUCCUGUUAUUGGUCUGCACCGUGGGUCCAUCUUUGUUCUUUAGCACUUUACCUAGAACAUGCUACGAGUUAAUGCACAAGUGAACUCCAUGUAUUAGAAUAUACCUAUGUGGGUAUUAAUUAUCUGUAUUACACCUUGACUUUUACACCUUAGUUUAUUAUGUCUCAUCUUUUAGAAACUUUAUUGUCCAGAUAUUUCCCCCCCUUCCCCCGACCAAUUAAAAGUAAUAAUAAUAAAAGAAUAAGAAUACUCUGUUAAUGGUUAGAUGCAUUUUAUUUUCUUAUUGUCUGUGGCAAUUUAUUUUCUUAACCUGUCCUUUAAUUUUCUUCCCGCUGAAUUUUUGUUUUCAGAUGCCCCACAAUGGGAAAUAAAAUAGAAAAAUAGUAUUACGUUAUAAUAAAUUUAGACAUAAUUGCAGGCUGACUUAGGUGUAAAGACGAAGACCCAACUUAUGGCUGAAAAGUCAGUUUUCAAGAUUCUCUUAAUGACUGUUAUUGCUGCCAGCGUGGAACCAGAUUUCCAAGACCCCAAGGAUGACUUUGUUGUCAAUGUAUGCCGCCAUUUUGCAAUGAUGUUCCAUAUUGAUUCAUCCUUAACAAAUACUGCAGUUGCAACUGCUACACUUGGGGGCCCUAUGCUUUCGUCAAAUGCCAAUGUUGGUUCCAGUUCCAGGUCAAAGAAUAGUAGUUCAUCAAACCUCAAAGAGUUGCACCCUCUGAUAUUUUUAGAUGCUCUAGUUGAUGUGCUAGCAGAUGAAAACAGGCUCCAUGCCAAGGCUGCACUUAGUGCUUUAAAUGUUUUCUCUGAGACACUUCUUUUUCUUGCUCGCUCAAAGCAUGCUGAUGUGCCAAUGUCAAGAGGCCCUGGUACUCCAAUGAUGGUCUCUAGUCCGUCAUUGAAUCCCGUAUACUCUCCUCCUCCAAGUGUUCGCAUCCCUGUUUUCGAGCAACUUCUGCCCCGUCUUUUGCAUUGUUGCUAUGGGACAACAUGGCAAGCGCAGAUGGGAGGUGUUAUGGGACUUGGUGCUUUGGUUGGAAAGGUUACUGUUGAGACCCUGUGCCUUUUCCAAGUAAGAAUUGUGCGUGGUUUGGUAUAUGUUCUUAAAAGGCUUCCUAUUUAUGCUAGCAAAGAGCAAGAAGAGACGAGUCAGGUGCUUACACAGGUUCUUCGCGUAGUUAAUAAUGUUGAUGAAGCAAACAGUGAACCACGCCGGCAAAGUUUUCAAGGAGUAGUUGAUUUCCUUGCUACAGAAUUGUUUAAUCCAAAUGCAUCUGUUAUCGUCAGAAAGAAUGUGCAGUCAUGUUUGGCACUUUUGGCUAGUAGAACUGGUAGUGAGGUAUCUGAGCUGCUUGAACCAUUAUAUCAAAAUUUGCUUCAGCCUCUUUUGGUGCGAUCACUCCGGUCAAAAACUGUUGAUCAACAGGUAAUCUAUGUUGCUAAUGGUCAUUAGUGGGAUGUGUUGAAUUUCUUUUUGACUUGAUCUGGUGGUAUACAGGUGGGAACAGUUACAGCUUUAAACUUCUGCCUUGCCUUGAGGCCACCUCUUCUCAAGCUGACUCAAGAAUUGGUUAAUUUUCUCCAAGAAGCAUUGCAAAUAGCUGAGGCCGAUGAAACUGUAUGGGUUGUGAAAUUUAUGAACCCAAAGGUGGCAACAUCACUAAACAAGCUUCGAACAGCCUGCAUUGAGCUACUCUGUACUACUAUGGCGUGGGCAGAUUUCAAAACUCCUAAUCAUUCAGAACUGCGUGCAAAGAUCAUUUCCAUGUUUUUCAAAUCUUUGACAUGUCGAACACCUGAAAUUGUUGCUGUGGCUAAGGAAGGCUUGCGACAGGUCUUGUUUCCUUUUAAAUUAGUCAAUCUAUAUGGUUUUUGCUCGUCUUACUGUAAUACAUGUCUGAAUGUAUAAUGAUCGAUGACUAUGAUGAUUAUCCUAGGAAAGCACUGGCCUCUGUUUUUAGGUUUCACAUUAGGGAUCACUUAUCGUAGCUUGUCUAUUUGACUGGUGAUGUUACUUAUGUAUCAUGUUUUGUUUUGGUUUGUUAAGACAUGGUGGAUGAUUUAUAAAGUUGGGGUUUUUUAAGAAGUCUUUUUAUUAUUUUUAAAUGUACUCUAUUCCAUUUCUUAUGAGAAAACAAACUCUACUCCAUUGCCAUGCAGGUUAUUAAUCAGCAGAGGAUGCCAAAAGAACUUCUGCAGAGCAGCCUCAGGCCUAUUUUGGUGAACUUGGCACAUACGAAGAAUCUGAGCAUGCCUCUUCUGCAAGGUCUGGCCCGUCUUCUUGAACUUCUGUCCAAUUGGUUUAAUGUUACCUUGGGCGGCAAAUUGCUGGAACACCUAAAGAAAUGGUUAGAGCCUGAAAAACUUGCACAAAGCCAGAAAUCAUGGAAAGCUGGUGAAGAGCCCAAAAUUGCAGCUGGUAAUAUAUUUUUGGUUGUCCACUUUUGGUCAUCAGUUCUUGUAUACCUACGCAUACGCAUGAUUACAGAUGAUAUGAUGUCAAAUUUGUGUUCUUUUCAGCUAUUAUCGAGCUUUUUCACCUUCUUCCUGUGGCUGCAUCAAAAUUCCUUGAUGAACUUGUAACCUUGACUAUAGAAUUGGAAGGAGCACUUCUUCCGGGACAAGUAUACAGUGAGAUUAACAGUCCAUAUCGUCUUCCACUGACAAAAUUUUUGAAUCGCUAUGCAACACUUGCAGUUGAUUAUUUUCUUGCUCGCUUAAGUGAACCAAAGUACUUCAGGAGGUAAUGUGUGGAUGCGAUAUACAUAUACAUAUAUAGUUAUGACCUCUUGGCCAUCAUUAACCAUGAAAUCCACGGUCACUAGCAGUUGGAUCAAAAUAUGAUGGUUGACAUUAAUUCCCAAAAGUAAAAUACUGGACUUAAACAAAUUUGAAUGCCAAUUGUUGAAUUUUGAUCCAGCGGUUGGUGUCCAUGGACGUUUUCAUGGUCAAUGGUGACCAAGUGAUCUAAAAACUCCCUGCCUCUAUAAAUAAAUGUGUAUGUCUAAAUAUAUUGAGAGAUGUAUUUAUCCUAUCAUUAUGAUGAAAUUUUCAAAUAUGUAUAAAUCUCAUGGAAUUUUGUUUCUAAAUUGCCAAUUCCCUUUAGAUGCAUUUAUUUGAUUUUGUCAUAUAAUCUAUAGGUUUAUGUAUAUAAUCCGAUCGGAUGCUGGCCAGCCUUUGAGAGAUGAACUUGCUAAAUCACCACAGAAAAUACUUGCAAGCGCUUUUCCUGAAUUUUUGCCAACUGCUUCGGGAUCGUCAACUCCUACCGCUUUGUUGGGUGAUGAAGGUCUUGUUAAGCCUGUACCUGAUAGUUCUAAUCCACCAUCUGCACAUCCUGGUGCAACACCAGAUGCUUAUUUUCGGGGACUUGCACUUAUCAAAACUUUAGUCAAAUUGAUACCUGGCUGGCUACAGAGUAACCGAAUUGUGUUUGAUACCUUGGUACUUGUUUGGAAGUCACCUGCAAGACUAUCUCGUCUACAUAAUGAACAGGAGCUGAACUUAGUGCAGGUUAGUUUAGUGGCUUGUUAUACAGAAGCUGUAUACUUUCUUUGUUGGUUAUCUUUUGGGUAAUUUUUUAUUUUUUGAAAACUAGCAAUACUAUUGGGUAAUAUUAAGAUAGGGGAAACCCACCGACUUUGUCUCUUAUGCAAAUUAUGUGACCUUUUGAGAGUUUAAUUUCUUUUUUUUCCCCCGAUUACUUCUUGCUGUUUGGAGUGUUGAUGCAUGUUGAAUUUUGCUUGUUGAAAUAUCAAAUAUCACUUUUGACUUGCUGUUAAAUUUUAUAAAUUUCUCUCCGUUAUUCUUUAACUUUCUGUGUGUAUCAAUUAAUAUGCGUCAUCAGAUCUUGUUUGUUUUCUAAUGUUUCUAAAAUGCAGGUUAAAGAAAGCAAAUGGCUUGUCAAAUGCUUCCUGAAUUAUUUACGACAUGACAAAACAGAAGUGAAUGUUCUCUUUGAUAUACUCUCCAUCUUCUUGUUUCAUACUCGAAUUGAUUUUACAUUUCUGAAGGAGUUUUAUAUCAUCGAGGUACUUUGAAUACAGGUUCUUUAAAUUUACGUUGUUUUUAUGUUAUUUGUGUUGACUGUUUGUGAAACAAUCAUCGUCUCUUUUCAGGUUGCAGAAGGAUAUCCACCGAACUUUAAGAAAGCACUUCUCUUGCAUUUUCUAAAUCUUUUCCAGUCAAAACAACUUGGCCACGAUCAUCUGGUGGUUAUUAUGCAAAUGCUCAUUCUUCCGAUGUUGGCUCAUUCCUUCCAAAAUGAUCAAAGUUGGGAAGUUGUUGACCAAUCUAUUAUAAAAACGAUUGUUGAUAGACUUCUCGAUCCUCCAGAAGAGGUAUACUUUUUGAAAGAAUUAAAUGUCUCCAGCGCCCCUAUAUCUUAUCUUAUUUUCUUGGUGCUGUUUUUAAAUUGUCCCUAUAUUUUGGGCUGAAGUUCAUUUUGUUUCUAUAUCUUACCAAUUUCGUACUUCCAUAGGUUUCUGCUGAAUAUGACGAGCCCUUGAGAAUAGAACUUUUGCAGCUUGCCACUUUGCUUCUCAAGUAUCUGCAGAAUGACCUUGUCCAUCAUAGGAAAGAACUUAUCAAAUUUGGUUGGAAUCAUCUCAAACGCGAAGAUAGUGCCAGUAAACAGUGGGCAUUUGUAAAUGUUUGCCACUUCUUGGAGGCCUAUCAAGCCCCAGAAAAAAUCAUACUCCAGGUAUGGCACAUUAUGGACAUGAUAUCAAUUUGAAUGUCCUGUUGGCACAAGGUUUUAACCUGUUAUUGGCAUUAAGUUUUACUGCUUUGAAAUUUAGGUUUUCAUGCUGUAUUUGUCAUGUAAAAAGAUCUCAGUUUUUGUGUUUAUUAUUUAUGCUGACACAAUUUUGCUUGGGAAUGGGAAUGACAUCAAUACUUUAAUUCAAAGCAAUUUACCAAAUAUUGGAUUGUUAGAGUGGUCUAUUUAUACUUGUUCUCUGUCUAACUGGAGCCCAUGAGCAUGUGAUGAGAGCACUCACAACCCAAAUAUGCUCAUAACUUUGGGUUCAAAUUGAGUAAUUUAUUAAAAUGAAAGUUAUCUUAAUUUAGUAUCUGGGCGUUGAUUUGAGAAUGCAGGUUUUUGUAGCGCUUCUGAGAACUUGCCAGCAAGAGAAUAAAAUGCUGGUCAAGCAGGCCCUCGAUAUACUAAUGCCAGCACUGCCACGUAGGUUGCCGCUUGGAGAUUCUCGCAUGCCAAUUUGGAUACGGUACACCAAAAAAAUUUUGGUCGAGGAAGGCCACUCAAUCCCUAAUCUGAUUCACAUCUUCCAGCUUAUUGUGCGCCAUUCAGAUCUCUUUUACAGCUGUAGAGCUCAAUUUGUACCUCAGAUGGUCAAUUCUCUUAGUCGCCUUGGAUUGCCUUACAACACUUCUGCAGAAAACAGGCGUCUCGCAAUUGAACUUGCUGGCUUGGUGGUUGGCUGGGAAAGACAAAGGCAAAAUGAAAUGAAAAUAGUAGUGGAUGGUGAUGUCACCAAUCAGAACAGUGAGGGUUUUAAUCCAGGCCCUGCUGGUGCUGAUCCUAAGCGCUCUGUGGAUGGGUCUACAUUUCCUGAAGAUUCAACGAAGCGUGUCAAAGUUGAACCUGGUCUUCAAUCCCUCUGUGUGAUGUCUCCUGGUGGUGCAUCAUCAAUACCUAACAUUGAGACCCCUGGAUCUGCUAGCCAACCUGAUGAAGAAUUCAAGCCAAAUGCUGCUAUGGAGGAAAUGAUUAUCAAUUUCCUUAUAAGGGUAAAGUCCUUUCAACUCAUUACUCAUGUUUUCAUGUAUGAGCGAGAUUUUUUGAAAAUACUUUAUCUUUGUAUUCAAUACCUCAUUAAUUUGGCGUAUAGAAGAAACCUCUAAGCUUUCUGGCGGUGAUGCUCUCCAUCUUGGCACUCCUUCCAUGGAUGUUUUAGACAAAGAAAAAAGAUGACUGCUAUCUUAGACUUUGGCAUCUUUUACUCAAUAAAUAAUUCAAUUUUGUUCUAUGGUGGUUUUUGUUUCUCUAGGUUUAUAGUACAAGUGUUAUAUGUAAUUGAAGAGGUAAUUUUUCAUUAAGUCGCCGAUGAUGACAGUCUCUGUACUUCUGUUUGUAGUUCCAUGUUCUGCAUCAAAGCUUGUCAUGAUUUGUUCAUUUGAUGGUUAAUUGUCUCAGCACUUUAUUGACUUUUGGAAACAGGUUGCCUUGGUCAUAGAGCCUAAGGACAAGGAAGCAAGUACUAUGUACAAACAAGCUUUAGAGCUACUUUCACAAGCUUUGGAGGUGUGGCCAACUGCCAAUGUUAAGUUUAAUUAUUUAGAGAAGUUGCUAAGCAGCAUUCAACCUCAGUCCAAGGACCCUUCCACAGCCCUCGCGCAGGGCUUGGAUGUUAUGAAUAAGGUCCUAGAGAAGCAGCCACAUCUAUUCAUCAGAAAUAAUAUCAACCAAAUUUCUCAGGUAUGUUCUUACACUGUCAUCUGUUUUUCAUUUUCACAAAGUCUACUAUUACCUAGACUUAUGCACUCAACUUCAGUUGUGUUGGUUUUUUUUUUGGACAGAUUCUUGAACCAUGUUUCAAGUAUAAACUGUUGGAUGCUGGAAAGUCAUUGUGCUCCCUGUUGAAAAUGGUCUUUGUUGCUUUUCCUCCAGAAGCAGCUACUACACCACAAGAUGUGAAGCUAUUAUAUCAUAAGGUUGAUGAACUAAUACAGAAGCACAUCAAUACUGUUACAGCUCCUCAAACAUCGAGUGAAGAGAGCACUGCUAAUUCAAUUAGCUUUGUGCUGCUUGUGAUUAGAACCUUGACAGAGGUGCAGAAGAACUUUGUUGAUCCUUACAUCUUGGUUCGUAUUCUUCAACGCCUGGCACGGGAUAUGGGGUCAUCCGCAGGUUCUCAUUUGAGACAAGUAUGUAUCUGUUUUCUCAUAUGUUUACCUCUUUCAUGUUUCAUAAAUUAAUGCUUCAUUAAGGUGAAAAUUUUAUUUGAUUCCUGAUCUUUUUUCUUUCUUAUUUCUCUUUGUUUGCCUUGCUGCUAUGUGGAUUACGCUUCCUAUUCUGUUCAUAUCAGGUGUCAUCAAUGUGCUUUUCUUUGUUUCUUCUUGUUUGGUCACUGUUUUUAAAACACAGCAUUGUGUUCUCUAUUCUUGGUGUUUGAAUUUAGAUUUUCUGUUGCAUGCAAGUAGUGGGACGGUUCUAUAAACUUUAUUUGUGUGCAUAACCAUUUAAGAUACAAAGUAUAUCUUUUCUCUUUGUUUUUCCCCUGUUGUUUUUUUGGUUGUGGGUGUAUGAUAAAAGUUUAAAGUCAUCACAUACAAUUUGCUACAUUAGAAAUAUUCUUAGAAAGUUACAUUUAUAUGUAUGAGGCAAACUUUACUGCUAAAGUUUGAUCGAGUUUUGUACAAUAAGGCUCUGAGGCUUCAUUCAAGGGUAGAACCAUGACAAAAAAUCAACCCAAGCACACAUGUGAUUUGACAUAAUUGACCUUUGUCUACUGAUUCUUUUUUUCUUUUCAACUAUAGAACAAACUCUCGUCUGUGAGAUUUGAACUCAGGCCAUCAAGGUAGAGACAAAUGCCACUAACUAAAUGGUCAUUGUUAAUCUUAUUCUACUAAAGAGGGCGCUGGUUUUAAGUUGUACUGUUUAAUUUUUUAUGUUCAGCCCCCGUAAUGGACUUAUUUCAUCUAGAAGGGUUCAAUACACUUCCGUUUUUUUCCAAAUGAUUAUAUUUUGGAAUGAACAUUUGUGUUUAUAGUUUGUUUUAUGAUGUUUUAAAAUUUGAUAACAUCCCUUCUCUCUUUCGUUGAAUUAUAUAUAGCAAAAAUUGUCUUCUUUCAGGGUCAGACAAAAGAUCUAGAUUCUGCAGUCUCCUCUUCUCGUCAAGGUGCCGAUGUUGGAGCAGUUAUUUCUAAUCCGAAAUCUGUGAUAGAUUCUGCAGUCUCCUCUUCUCGUCAAGGUGCCGAUGUUGGAGCAGUUAUUUCUAAUCUGAAAUCUGUGCUGAAACUUAUUAGUGAAAGGGUCAUGAUUGUUCCAGAUUGCAAAAAAUCUGUAACUAACAUAUUGAAUACCUUGCUUGCUGAGAAAGGUACUGAUGCUACCGUGCUGCUUUGCAUACUUGAGGUAAUAAAAGGGUGGAUUGAAGAUGACUUCGGAAAGCCAGGCACAUCUGUCAGUUCAAAUGCUUUUCUCACUCCGAAGGAAAUAGUUUCCUUUCUUCAAAAGCUUUCACAGGUUGAUAAACAAAACUUCUCAAAUGCUCUGGAAGAAUGGGACAGUAAAUAUCUUCAGCUUCUCUAUGGAUUAUGUGCAGAUUCAAAUAAGUAAGUAAUAUACUUCAGUUCACUUUUGUUAUACUUGAAUAAAAGGAGAUAAUUAAAUGAUUUGAUCAAUGUCCAGAUAUCCCCUAUCCCUGCGUCAAGAGGUGUUUCAGAAAGUGGAAAGGCAAUUCAUGCUUGGUUUACGGGCAAGAGAUCCUGAAUUCAGGAUGAAAUUCUUCUCGCUUUAUCAUGAAUCUCUUGGGAAAACAUUGUUUGCUAGGCUUCAGUACAUUAUUCACCUCCAGGAUUGGGAAGCCUUGAGUGAUGUCUUCUGGCUCAAACAGGGCCUUGAUCUUCUUUUAGCAAUCUUAGUCGAGGAUAAAGCUAUUACUCUUGCUCCAAAUUCUGCAAAGGUGCCACCACUUCUGGUUUCAGGUUCUCCAGACCCAUCCGGGAUGCAGCACCAGGUCACUGAUAUUCCAGAGGGUUCCGAGGAUGCUCCUCUAACAUUUGACACCCUUGUUCAUAAGCACGCACAUUUUUUGAAUGAGAUGAGCAAACUCAAGGUAAGGCUUGUGCAUUAUUUGUACAUUUGGAGAAACUAUUCUGUGACUGCAGCACCAUGUCACAUGCUGACAUGGUGUUACGAGUCCCAGUACACAUGUUAUAAUUUGGAUGGACUUGUAAUACCACGUCAGCAUGCCAUGUGGUGUCAGAGUCACAUACAAGAAUGUAUGGUUUCUAGCAUCUCCCCUCUCCCACUCUUGCACUCCCAGAGUUUGUUACUAAUUAAUUCUGCUUUGAAAGUCGUGGGUGGUAAACCAUAUCUCUCGACAAGCUUGAGUUAUUGAUUGAUAGUCUGACCUUUUUUUUUUUAAUUUUUUAAUUUUUCCUCUGUUUUAGGUGGCUGAUCUUAUUAUUCCACUGAGAGAGCUUGCUCAUAUGGAUGCCAAUGUCGCAUACCAUUUAUGGGUGUUGGUGUUUCCCAUUGUCUGGGUGACCUUACACAAGGAAGAGCAGGUUGCACUAGCUAAACCAAUGAUUACCCUCCUUUCAAAAGAUUAUCAUAAGAAGCAGCAAGGCAGCAGACCAAAUGUUGUGCAAGCCCUUCUGGAAGGGCUUCAGUUGAGCCACCCUCAACCUCGGAUGCCAAGUGAGCUCAUUAAAUAUAUUGGAAAAACUUACAAUGCAUGGCACAUAGCAUUGGCACUGCUGGAAAGUCAUGUUUUGUUGUUCACAAAUGAUGCGAAGUGCUCUGAGUCCCUUGCUGAACUUUAUCGCUUGCUCAAUGAAGAAGAUAUGAGGUGUGGGCUGUGGAAGAAAAGGCCAAUCACUGCUGAAACUAGGGCCGGUCUUUCGCUAGUUCAGCAUGGCUACUGGCAGCGUGCUCAAAGCCUCUUUUACCAAGCAAUGGUUAAGGCAACUCAAGGCACAUAUAACAACGCAAUACCAAAGCCCGAGAUGUGUCUCUGGGAAGAACAAUGGCUGUGCUGUGCUACUCAACUUAGUCAAUGGGAUGCAUUGGUAGACUUUGGCAAGAGCGUUGAGAAUUAUGAAAUACUACUCGACAGUCUUUGGAAAUUGCCUGAUUGGGCAUAUAUGAAGGAUCAUGUAAUGACAAAGGCUCAGGUGGAAGAAACUCCAAAACUUCGGCUCAUACAAGCAUUUUUUGCGCUUCAUGAAAGAAAUUCCAGUGGUGUCGGGGAUGCUGAGAACAUUGUGGGGAAAGGUGUAGAUCUUGCCUUGGAUCAGUGGUGGCAGUUGCCACAGAUGUCUGUCCAUGCCAGGAUUCCUCUUUUACAGCAAUUCCAACAGCUAGUUGAAGUUCAAGAGUCAUCUAGAAUUCUUGUGGACAUUGCCAAUGGAAACAAACUUUCUGGGAAUUCCGUAGUUGGUGUGCACGGAAAUCUGUAUGCCGAUCUCAAGGACAUUCUUGAGACUUGGAGACUGAGAACUCCAAAUGAAUGGGAUAACAUGUCUGUUUGGUAUGAUUUACUACAAUGGAGGAACGAAAUGUAUAAUGCAGUCAUAGAUGCAUUCAAAGAUUUCACGACAACAAAUAAUAAUCUUCAUCACCUUGGUUAUCGUGACAAAGCUUGGAACGUCAAUAAGCUUGCCCGUGUUGGUCGUAAGCAAGGCCUAUAUGAUGUUUGCGUGAUAAUACUUGAAAAGAUGUAUGGCCAUUCAACGAUGGAAGUGCAGGUAUUUAAAAAUAUAACAAAUAUAUUGUAUUGGGCUUAGGAAGACAUCACUCUUACUUUUUUACACCAAUCAAACAAAGUACAAGCAAAAACAUGUGUGUUGAACCUUUAUGGGCAUUUACUACAAGCCUAGAAGACCCUUUAUGAAUGACUUUAUUCUGGGGGUUACUAGCUGAGUUGUUGAAAGCCCUCAAUUUAUGAUUUUUCGUUUCUUGUAUUUGGUUCUUGUAACUUCUAACAAUGUUCAUUAUGUUAACGUAUCAAUUUGAACCUUUUGGAGGUAAUGUUGCAUGAACCUUGUCCUCCUGAGCUUGUGUUUUGUACUUGUUGACUGUACUACGUUAUUUUGGUAAUUUUCUUUCAUAAACUACUUUCGUUUUAAUAGAUGCAGGUUUCUAAUCCCUUUCCGUGUAUGCUACCAGGAGGCCUUUGUUAAGAUAAGAGAACAAGCAAAAGCUUAUUUGGAAAUGAAAGGAGAGCUUGCUAGUGGUCUCAAUUUAAUCAACAGCACUAAUCUGGAGUAUUUUCCUGUGAAACAUAAAGCAGAAAUAUUUCGUCUGAAGGGGGAUUUCUUGUUAAAGUUAAAUGACUCUGAAGGUGCUAAUCUUUCAUACUCCAAUGCCAUCAGCCUGUUCAAAAAUUUGCCUAAAGGAUGGAUAAGCUGGGGAAAUUACUGUGACAUGGUAUUUCAUGUUUGUGCUUCAAAUGUAUUUAAUAAUAUUGGUGUUUUUAUUUGUGAGGGCUUAUCUGCUAAACUAUUUUGCACAGGCUUACAGAGAAACCAAUGACGAGAUGUGGUUGGAGUAUGCUGUGAGCUGCUUUCUUCAAGGCAUCAAAUUUGGCAUAUCUAACUCAAGAAGUCAUCUUGCUCGUGUUUUAUAUCUUCUCAGCUUUGAUACUCCCAAUGAACCUGUCGGGAAAGCUUUUGAUAAAUAUCUUGACGAAAUUCCGCACUGGGUCUGGCUUUCUUGGAUUCCACAGCUCUUACUUUCUUUGCAGAGGGCAGAAGCUCUCCACUGCAAACUCGUCCUACUAAAAAUCGCCACUGUGUAUCCGCAGGUAAAAUGUCCUGUUAUAUUUGUGAAAGGAGAAGAAAUUUAAAACAGUACUUCCCUUCCAACAGAAAUAUUGAUGUUCUCUUGCAUUAAAAUCUCAGGCUCUAUAUUACUGGCUGCGCACGUAUUUGCUUGAACGACGCGAUGUUGCAAAUAAAACUGAACUUGGUAGUAGAAUGGCAAUGGCUCAAAGGAUGCAGCAAAGUGCCUCUGGUGCCAGUGCUGUUUCAAUCGGCUUAGUUGAUGGGAAUGCUAGAGUGCAAGGUCAUAGUGGCAGUAACUUAUCCUCAGACAACCAAGUUCACCAAGCUGCUCAAUCCGGUGGCGGAAUUGGUUCUCAUGAUGGUGGAAACUCUCAUGGGCAAGAAUCUGAAAGGUCCACAGGUGUCGAGAGUGGCAUCCAUACGGGGAAUGAGCAACAAAGUUCUUCAACCAUCAAUGAUGGUGGUCAAAGUGCAUUAAGGCGCAAUGGUGCUCUGGGUUCGGUACCUUCUGCUGCAAGUGCUUUUGAUGCUGCAAAAGAUAUAAUGGAGGCUCUUAGAAGCAAGCAUACUAAUUUGGCUAGUGAACUCGAGGUGUGAUAUUUCCGUCUCAUAUUUAUUAAGUUAAAUAUUUGAUUUACUUUUGUUAUGUAGCAGUUUUACUUUAUAUUUUUUUAUUAGUAAGUCAAUUUUAUUAAUUUUAAUUAGUGGAGAUCGAAACUUUAACUCUUAUACAACUACUGUCUAAGGCAACUCCAUAAAAGAAUCAAAAGAGAGGCUCCAUGUGAUCCAAAAAGACAGGGUGAGCAGAAUGGAAUGCUUCAGGACUCUAAUUGCGGCCUUUGGAUUCUCAAAUCAUCUAAUAAUAUUCUUUUGCAAUUCACACCCAGGGAGCCAUGUGAUAGAACGACCUACUAACAUUCUAUUAAGACAAACUUUUUGUGUUGCUAAGAAGCUAGCCAUACAUAGUAUACCAAAAUGUUUAAUCUUGUUUAAGACUGCUCAUAUGGAGAAAGCAUAUUGAAGAAAAAAAGGAGUCAUAUCUUGGUCUUUUUGAUCAACUAGAUGAUAUAUUUGUUUCUUUUUUCUUUCUGAGUGCAGACUCUGCUGACUGAAAUUGGUUCAAGGUUUGUCACUCUGCCAGAGGAGAGACUUCUAGCUGUUGUUAACGCACUGCUUCAUCGAUGUUACAAGUACCCAACUGCCACAACAGCUGAGGUUCCCCAAUCUCUUAAGAAGGAGCUCUCUGGUGUUUGCAGAGCUUGCUUUUCACAAGAUGCUGUGAAUAAGCACGUUGAAUUUGUGAGAGAGUAUAAACAGGAUUUCGAGCGUGAUCUUGAUCCUGGGAGCACUACUACUUUCCCGGCUACCCUCUCUGAAUUGACUGAGCGGUUAAAACAUUGGAAAAAUGUCCUCCAGAGCAAUGUUGAGGACAGGUUUCCAGCUGUCUUGAAGCUGGAAGAGGAAAGCAGGGUGUUGCGCGAUUUCCAUGUCGUUGAUGUAGAGGUUCCAGGACAAUACUUCAAUGAUCAGGUAAUCAAAUCAGUGUUUGCACAUUUCUGCUCCUAUCAUUGGGAUCCUGGCUUUAUUGUUUAUUCAUUAUGAUUUAACUGAUUGGUCUUCCUGUAUGACUGUCAUUGGAUAAAUGGAGAUGGUAGUAUCCCAAGCUGAUUCUAUCAUGUUAAAUGACUGUCAAGCUUCUUAAAAACAAGCCAGUUUUAUGAUCAAGUUCAUUCAAUAUUCUAUUUGAUUUCUCAAUGCAUUUUCUUAAAUAUAAAAACAUGAUUGUAAUGAUCGCAGGAAAUUGCACCUGACCAUACAGUAAAGUUAGACAGGGUUGGAGCUGAUAUACCAAUUGUGCGAAGACAUGGAAGUAGUUUCCGUCGUUUGACUUUAAUUGGCUCGGAUGGAUCUCAACGUCAUUUUAUUGUCCAGACAUCUUUGACUCCUAAUGCUAGGAGUGAUGAACGAAUAUUGCAGCUUUUCCGUGUGAUGAACCAAAUGUUUGAUAAGCACAAGGAAUCAAGGCGACGCCACAUAUCUAUUCACACCCCAAUCAUCAUUCCUGUUUGGUCUCAGGUUUAUCCCUAUACGCAUUUGAAGGAAUUAGAUUUUAUCUUCCCUCUCUUGUGUGUGUGUGUGGAAAAAGAAAAGGGCAGGAAAUUUGUUCCGGCCAUGUAUAUAAAGCAUGUGUGAUCAUUUGACUUAUCUACAUUUAAUAGUAUAGCUACUCAUACAUAUUCACUUUUUAUAACUCCCGCCUUGAAGACAUCUCAGCAGUUUAUAGUCAGUUUGGGAUUCAGUUCCCCUUGUACUCAACUAUUUCUGUAUGUGCAGGUCCGCAUGGUAGAAGAUGAUUUGAUGUAUAGCACCUUUCUUGAGGUGUAUGAGAACCAUUGUGCAAGGAACGACAAGGAAGCGGAUCUUCCCAUCACCUAUUUUAAGGAGCAAUUGAACCAAGCUAUAUCUGGCCAAAUCUCACCAGAAGCUGUCGUAGACCUUCGCCUCCAAGCUUAUAAUGACAUAACAAGAAAUCUUGUAACUGAUGGCAUUUUUUCGCAAUACAUGUACAAGACUCUGCUAAAUGGCAACCAUAUGUGGGCUUUCAAAAAGCAGUUUGCCAUCCAGCUGGCCCUCUCAAGUUUCAUGUCUCUCAUGCUACAAAUUGGUGGGAGGUCGCCAAAUAAAAUUCUAUUUGCUAAGAACACAGGCAAAAUAUUUCAAACUGAUUUUCAUCCAGCAUAUGAUGCAAAUGGAAUGAUCGAGUUUAAUGAACCAGUACCAUUUCGUCUUACGAGGAACAUGCAAGCCUUCUUCUCCCAUUUUGGAGUGGAAGGUCUCAUUGUGUCUGCAAUGUGUGCUGCUGCACAGGCUGUUGUUUCACCUAAAGUGAGUUUUUUGUUGGCAGUUGCUUUCAGUAUGAGGAUUAAUCAGAUCUAAGUUGAGAAUGAAGAAAGAAAAAGAAAUUAUUUGUAUCCUAAUUCUCAAUUUUCCUGUAUUGCAGCAAAGUCAACAUCUGUGGCAUCAGUUGGCUAUGUUCUUCCGUGACGAGCUGCUGUCUUGGUCUUGGAGAAGACCCCUUGGCAUGCCUAUGGCCCCAUUUGCUGGGGGGGGUAGUAUGAACCCCGCUGACUUUAAGCAGAAGGUCAUCACCAAUGUCGAGCAUGUUAUUGGCCGGAUCAAUGGAAUUGCCCCACAGUACUUUUCUGAAGAGGUAAGUCAGGGCCUCCAAUCUUAUAGUAGCAUAGAGCUUUGUCACUUGCAAUGAUGUCAAUUAAAUGCCCCUCUUGAAAUGAGAAAGAAAAAAAAAUUGCAUUCUUUUCCUUUCCCUUGUCUUUUCAAAUAGACUUCAGGACGAUGGUGGGCUGAAUUUUUUUUUCUUUAAUAUUUUAGGUUUAAUUGGUUUUCAAAUUUGGUUCAGAAUCUGGAAAUGAUUGCUAAUUUAACCGCCCCUAAGAGUGUGUUGUGUUUUCUGCUGCAUUCAGGAGGAUAAUGCCAUGGAACCACCACAGUCGGUGCAGCGCGGAGUGACUGAGUUGGUUGAAGCUGCCUUGACUCCGAGGAACUUGUGCAUGAUGGAUCCGACGUGGCACCCCUGGUUUUGAAGUUAGCACCGGAGGUUCUAGAGUUAAAAAUAUGGUAUAUUUUGCUCGGACGGUUUCCUGUUGUAAAUAUUUAUCGUGUACAUAUCGGUGCUCUUAUAGUGAUUUUGAGAAGUCAUUCCCCAUAAUUAUAUUUUUGACACCCAAUUUGGAAAGAAUUGAGUGGGGUGUUGAACAUGUAAAUCACAAAUUCAUAUGUAAAUCACAUCUAGGAGUAAAGAUUUGGUUCUAGGGUUUUAGGUAUCUCAUUGACGAGGAUCCAUAUAUUAUACAAAUGAAAUGCGUCAUCGUUCCUUUGCAAGGAAUUUUGUUUUUGGUUAAAACUAUUGAAAUGCAGUUACCGUAUUUGAGAUAUCAUUUCUUUGCAGUGAUCUUUUAUAUAGAUAUAUAUUUCCUUUCUGUAAAUGGAUGAAUAUUACCGCAAUGGGUAAAACCAGGGCAACAAAGAAAGAAACAAAGAUCAAGCAAACAAGAAAAGGUUCUUAUUAAUCAACAACAAGAACUACCAAGAACCAAAGGAGAUUUUUUCAGGUUAUGAUUUUCCUACUCUCUUUUUGUCCACUUACUCUCUUUUGUUUGUUAAUAUUUUUUAUUAUAACAAAAAAAAAGUGUAAGCAGAUUGAAGAGUGGGAAUAUACAAUUUCCAACAAAGAGUGUAAAUGCACAAAAGAUGAAUAAGCUCCUUUUUUAUUUUUUAUGAAGUGCUGUUAUUUUCAUCAUGUCCUAUUUCCUCUCCUACCUUGUAAAUUUGAAAAAACAUAAUCUUAUUUUUACACCCACUAUUAUUCUUAAAAUACUCAUCCUCAAAGAGAGGCUUGGGCUUGACUUCCCAUCUCUGCAUUGCCGCCUUCAACCACGUCAAGUCCAACUCCAUCUCUGUCAUCCCCUCCUGUUCUUGCGGCUUUGUCAGUAAACUCUCUCUCUCUCUCUGGGUUUGUGUCAAAAUUUAAUUUCUAUGCCAUUAACAUUGAAUUUUUUUUUGUCUGGUGGGUUUUAUAAUCUGAUUCAUUUCUGGGUCUUUAUGACCAAGACUUUUUUCUCCAGAACUAGAAAUGGUUUGUUUCUUCCUUUUUUGUGUAUGCAUGUUGUAAUUUGCUUCAUUGGCCGAUGAUACUGUCUUCAUAUGUUGUUCAUUAUGACAGACCCACAGUGAGGUCAAUGGGAUCAAAUGACCCUAUGGACUUCAUGAAAGUAAGUUACAAGGUUCCUUUUAAUGGCCGUGUGACUCCAUAAAUGGCUGAAGGAGAUGAUCUAAGGGUGAAGAAGAUGCAGAGCGUGCUUAUGUUUUUUUUAAUUUUUAAAACAUGCUGGGCAAAACGACCAUUUUAGCCUGGCGUUUAAUAUUUUUUUUUAACACGCUGGCCAAAAUGGCGUCGUUUUGGCCUAACCUAGUGAAUUUUUUUUAAAAAGACCUGGCCAAAACGACGUCAUUUUGGUCCAAGUCUUUAAAAAAAAAAAAAAAAAAAAAGAACAGAUUCAAAGAGAACUCUCCCGACUUCAGCAUCUCCAAUCCAAAACUCCCAUUCCUAAACCCUCAAACCUAAAUCCCCAAUCUCCAUCCCCCCAAACCUUUAACCCUCUCCCCCACCAAACCUUUAAGCCCUAGCCCCAGCUCCUCCAAAAAAAUUAAACUUUUACACUAUGACCCUAUGAGAUAAGAGAUAAGAUUCCUGGAUCCGUCCCUGAUUAUGAUGAUAAAUUCAUAGGAAAAUAAAAAUGUUUUAGGGUCUUGACCCUAUGGGGAAAUUUGUUGAAAACGUCAUCUGUGGUUAUAUGUGAUUAUGGAGUGUAAGUGGAUAAAAUUGGAGUGGGGGAAAUCACCACUAAAAAAAAAAGCUAGAAAUUAUAUUUGACUCAUUUCAUAAAUUUCUUAAUAAAUAGUAAUUAAUUAUUUUAAAUUUUGUGGACUCAUUUCAUAAAACAUACUAAUGAUAAAGUAAUAAGGCAUUUAGUUUAUAAAAAAGAAAAUUUUAAAUAUGAUAUUUUGCCACGCGACAUUUCUAUAUUUUUUGAUAUUUUGUUGAUCUAAUUCUACUUUUUUUUUUUUUUUUAAGGAAUCUAAUUCUACAUUUUGGUAAAAUAUAUAAAUAGAAAAAAGUACCAACUGGUCAAAACUAGCAAAGAGUGUUUCAUUCAUUAAAAAUCAGUGAGAACACUGAGAAUUACACACCAUUUGUGGUCAUGAAUAUCAUUUCUAUUGUGGAUCCCGAAUAAAAAAACAAAACUAAGGAAUUACAGAAAAUGACCAAAGCAAAUCCCUCCCUAAACAUGGUUAUCAAGAAAGACAACCAAAACACAUCAGCACUUCAAAACCAGAAUCUUAAUUUUCCUCCUCAAGAAAGCGCAUGUGCUUGCCUUUUGGUGUUGGCAAGCCCUUCAAGCGAAGGGCACUGGGUGAAACAACAGCACCUGAAUCAGGACUCUCUGCUGAAAAGUCUUCUUCAACGAUUUCAAUGUCAUCCUCACUGUCAUACACAAAUCUUGUAUGCUUUCCAGCAAACUUGGGGAUCAUUUUCUUCUCAUCAACACAAAUGUUGUUUAUACCAUCACAAAGCUCAUCAAGAUCAUAGCCUCCAUCCUGUUCAUGUUCUUCAAUUUCAUAACCUUCAUUCAGAUUCAGAUAAUAAUCUUCUUCUUCUUCUUCUUCUUCUUCUUCUUCUUCUGCUUGAGCAACUUCUUCUUCAUCUUCAUCAUGGGUGCUAGCAUUGACCUGAAUUGACCAAAUGGAAGCACUAUCAUCAUCUGGUGAUGACUUCUCUUUGAUUUCAGUAAUCACAGAGGAGCACUCUGAUGAAACAGAGGAGACUUCAGAUUUCUCAGAGAAAUCCAGCAGCAGAGACCGGCUGAUGAUACUCUUUUGUGAUUCAAGGCUUUCUUGAUUCUUUCCCUCAAAGAUGUCACAUACUACCUAUCACAUUUUCAUAAAUAAAAAGAAAUCAGUGAUUUGCACUUUUCAUUUUGGAGGUAAAUGAUUAAAGACCCAAUCGAAAUAUUGUCACCAAAAUUCCAAAUGAAAAUAGGAGAAGAACCCACAUAUAAUCUAGUAUGAAAAAUCUUCAAACACAAAAGGGUUAGAACCCAACCUGAGAAAUCAAUUGUUCUUGGAUAAGUGGAGAAGGCUUCUCGAAACCCACACCACCAUUGUUGCUUCCACUUGCAUCAACAGAGAGAUCAGAGACCUGUGGUGUGUUUGCCGGAGUUGGGGCAAGUAGUCCCAUUGGCGAGUUACCAGUAAUUCCUUGGAGAAGACGAAGAGGGCGGCUUUCCAAUGUGAUCUUUGAGAGCUCGGCCUCUUCCUCCACUUGUUGCAAGAGGGUCUUGACUUGACCCCUCAGCAAGGCCUCUCCGGACCCAGGUGUGUUCUUGGCUCUAAAGCUUCUCUGUUUGACUAUGGCCGAUGAUGGGGUCUCCAAGCUUCCCAUUGCAAGCCCCACAAUCGGAGAAUCAUUGGUUAUAUCAAUCAGGGCUGAUCUGUCUUGCUGUUGCUUCCCAUUUCUUGGUCUUGAUUUCGAUUCAACCUUUUCAGAAUCUUCAUUCUUCCCUGAAAAAAAGAAACCAUGUAUCAGUCAGUAUAGAGAAACCAAAUCUAUGGUAAACCCAAGUAUCAAUAAACCCAUUUUCCGAUCAAAACUCUAUGAUUGUUCAUAUUGAAAAAAGGGGGAAAAUGAAAACGAAAACCAUUAAACCAAGAAACUGAUCAAGACCCAUUUUUUAUAUUCAAAAACUGACUGGUUAUUCAAAAGCAAAGAAAAGAAAAGAAAGUGAGAGAACUCACUUGAAAGGGGAAUGUUGUUGGUGUUGCUGUUUUGAGCAACCAAAGCCUGAGACCUUGUGACUCUUCUGAUUGAAGAUGGGGUCUCCAUUGGAUUUGAAUUGAGAAAUUCGAUGAAAAACGAAAUGGGUCGUCGGAAAACUGAAGGCGAAGCAAACAGUGGACGCCGAAAAUCAAAUUAUUGGAAAGCAAGAGAAAAGUCGAUAUCUUUAGGGCAGAGCUUCGGAGGUUUAUAAAGAGGGUUUGGUGAACGGGGUUCUUAAACGGGAAUGUGACCGUUGGCGCGUGCGGUUCGUCGUAUUUUGACACGUUUGCCAAAACUAGCCGUUGGAGUUUAAUUUGAAUAGCUGUGGCCUCAUCUUUUAUUUUCGAGCAAUUUAAUGGGCCUUGAGAUAGGCCUCAUCAUGAUUUGUGUAAUUAAUUUCCAAGUCUGCCCACCAAUUUGCUUCAUUAUAAUUUUUUUUUUGUUAUUUCUCGUUGAUUGGGAUUGAGAUAGGAGGAAACAUAAAGAAAUAAUAACCAAAAGAUUUUUUUUUUUUUUUGUUAUUCAAUCGAGAUUUCUUACCAAAAAGAAAUAAUAACCAAAUGCAGUUUUUUUUCCCUCCUCUUGAGCUAUUAUACAAAAUGAUAAGGUUAAUAUAUAUAAUUUUUAUAGACGUGAAUUAUGUCAGAUGGGGCCAAGACACUGUACUCACUUUCUUGCACCCUAAUUCAAUCAUCCUUCCCAUAGAAUAGUUUAGUCCACUUUGUCAAAAAGUAGAUACAAUUUUUUUUUUCUUAUGAGAUUAUACAAGUAUAACUUGAAAAUGUCAAUUUGUAUAUACAUAUAUAUAUUUUUAUAUUACAUUCUCAUACCACUUUAUGUGGCAUACGAAGUGAACAUCCGCAUCAAUUAAAAAGUGUCAAUAAAUUAUAAAUGAAAAGAAAAUGUUAAAUUAAUUUUAAUUGAUAUAGAUGUCCACAUCGUCAGUCUCAUAAGGUGGUAUGAGAAUGUAAUAUACAGUCCCCUUCUAUUGAGGGAAUUUACGAAUUUUUUUCCAACGAUCCAAACUAUCUAUUUUUUAAGUCUACAUUCAUAGAUCAUCCUUGCAAAAAAUUAGAGAAAUCGGAAACCUUUUUAACAUCCAAUUGUAUCCUACAAAAUCAAUGAACACGAUACUUCAAGAAAGUACUAAAAUUUCAACAACACAAUUGAGUGGUCAAAUAAUAUCGGAUUCAAAUAAUUUUUUGUAGAGAUGAUAUUUGAAUGAUUAUCUAAAACAUAGACGAUCCGGAUGUCCGCACGUUAUUAUCAUGCAUAUGCUAUUGUAAACAUGCAAGAAAACAGGGAGGGAUAAUACAUAAUACAAAAUACAUAAUGUCCACACAAUAAUAACAUCCGAAUGUCCGCAUAAGAGAAUUUCUGUAUAUAUAUUCUAUACAUGUCAAUAUUGCUUAUAUAUUUGUAUCCAAAGUAUUUCUCAACGGACCAUCCCAGCCCAAGAAUAGGGACGGGCCAGACUUUGACGUUCUGGUGGGUUGGGCCUGUAAGGUGGAGGUAGACUGGGAGUAGUCUGUUAAGAAGGCAAAAAACAAAAAGGAGGAAAAUAUAUUGUGUAAAGAAACGAAAAGAGAAAGUGGGAGGUUGGGAAAGAAAUGAGAAGGAUUUGGUGGCCAGGUGCGCACACAGCUAAGCGCUUAUACUUUAUUUGAUUGGAGGAAUAAGCACAGCUCAUAUUUGUGUGAACAGCCAGAUGCGUACACAAAACCAUAAAAUUUAAUUAUUUAUUGUGAUCCACUCAAGAUUUCCUGCUGAAUCGUCCUCAGUUCUCUUAAUGAGAAAUUAUAGAAUAUUAUGGUAAUAUAGUUAUAUGAUAUAUUUUGUAUACGUAUUAUAAUAUGAGUAGACGACAUGAUUUAUUUUUCUCCUUUUUAAAUAAUAGUAUUCAUAAAUAUCUAAUUAGAUUAUAACACGUAUACAAAAUGUAUCACAUAACUAUACUACUGUAGUAUUCUAUAAUUUCUCUAAUUUGAAUAAACGAAAAUUGUAUAAUAAAAUAAGAAGAUUUUCAUAGUCCGUACAUUGCAACUUGCUAGAUUGAAUUUUGAACGCUGUCGGGAUUAAUUAAGUCACUGUUAGACAAUCUCACUGCUACAUGCAUGAUUAAUAAUACCUACAAGUGGCUUAAGGAAAAAAAAAAACACCCAACAACAUGUAUAUUUUACACGUUCCUACUUCGUUACUGAAGCUCCUUACAACUUUGAGUGGUAUAGCACUUACUGUUGCACAUUAAUUCGGAUAAUAUUUCAUUUUAGUUCUAGGAAACUCUAAAUGAUAUCUGAAAUAUUUUGUAGAUUCUUUUGUAUGUAAACUGAAAAAAGUGAUAUGGAUUGAUCGUUAUGUACAUAUUAUGUCAUCGUGUUUCAAGCAGGGGCGGUCCUACACCUAGGGCAAGGGAGGCUGCUGCCUACCCCAAAAUUUUCAAAAAUAAAAAAUACCCAUAUAGAAUAGGCCAACCCAUGUGAAACAUACAAAUCAAUGCCCACCCUAAACCCAUGUGAAACAUACAAAUCAAUGCCCGCCCAAAAAGUAAGCCAUAUGUAUGCAUAACAUAAAAUUUCUCUUCUCUUUAAUUAUCUUCUCUUUAAUUUCCUACCCCAAAAUUUUAAGAUUUUGUAUAUGACAACAUUGAAUUUAAUAUAUUCUAAAUAGGUUAGAAGUUAUGUGUUCUAAUCUAUUCUAGAGUUUACUUAAAGAAUGAAUUAUAAUUUGCUGACUUUGUUGAAAUUAAUUAGGUCUUUGAUUUUUGGAAUUUUUGUUGAGAUAUUUGAUUUGAUAUUGGUAUUUUUGAGAUGUUUUGAUUUGUUGGUAUGUUAAUGUUUGAUUAAAGGAAUUGAUGUUAUUAUGAGAAUUUAUUUGAUUUUUUUUGUUGAGAUGUUGGAUUAAAUAGGUUAUCUUUUGUUAUGUCAGAUUACAAUCCGAAUCCCAAGAAAAUGAAAAAUUUAUUGGAAAUUUUUUUUAAAGAAAAAUAAUAGUUUUUUUCUCGCUAUAUUUUUAUUUAUGUAUAGAGAUGCAUUUGAGAGUAAGGCUUAUUAUGUCUUCUUACUGGGUGUAUAAUUUUAUGUUUAUUAAUAAGAUUCACUCAUAACCUCAAGUUUUUAAUGUAAGUUUGCCCAGUUGAAUUUCAAAUUCUGAAUCCGCCACUCGUUGCAAGUGAAGUUGCUUUGUCAAGGUGUUAUAUGAGAAAAACUACAUCAUCUAACAAAUAAAAUACUCAUCGAACAACAAACAAACUCUAAAAUAAUAAUAAUAAUAAUAAUACUUUUUAUUAUAAGAAUGAAUACAAAAAAGAAAGCUUUUAUUUUACAAUUCAAUUCAUUUCUCAAUAAAGAGAUAAUUAACAAGUGUGUGAACUUUAUUCUGGUGGAAAACAACCCAUAUUUAUAGAUAUAUGGGAUUUUUUGAAAUGAAAUGAUUAAUGGAAUUAAUUAAGGGCAUUUUCGGGUUUGAUUGCGGGUGGUGAGGCUAGCAUAGCAAGGACAAGCCUCAUAGUUGCCAGCAGUGCCUGGAGGAACACAGCUACACUUGUCACAGCAACUCCCACAAGCCCUUUUGCACAGACGAGGCCUUGAUGAUAAUUUGCACCUUCCUUCACAUGCCACUCCGCAAUCUGCACGAUUAUUUUCAUCAUUUGCAUAAUAACAUAUAUUAAUUUCGUAUAAAUUAAUAUACAUAUUUACGUUAUUAUCGUACGAACGUCACGUAUUUUUUAUUACCUUCUAUACAGACGUUCGCAUAGAAGAAGAAUUUAUAUACAGAUUUUCUGUUAUGUAUUAUCAAAUCGUAAUAUACAUACCUAGGGUGGGCGGGGGUAGGGGGCUCGGUGCUCCAUUGUUGUUCAUCUGAAAAUAGUGUAAAGCACAAAAGUUAAAAAAAAACUUGAACCCAAAAAAAAAGAAAAAAAAAAAGAAAAGGAGACAUGGAUAUUACCAUGUGGGACUGAUGAGCUGCUUCAGUGAGAUAUUGGAGAACCAGAAAAGAGAAAACAAGGGAAGCCAUCAUCAGGGUUAAUCUUGAUGACAAGGCCAUAUUAAUUAUAUUUAUAUAGAAAAUAGCUAUAGCUAUAGCAGCUAGUAGAGAGAGAAGAUAAUUGGGAUGUUGUGAAAUGAGAGAGAGAUCGGAGUGAGUAUUUAUAGAGAGAUUGAUCAGAAAAGAGGGGGCGGGGUGGUGCAUGGAGUGGCAGUAGGGCGCAUGCCUGUCUCCCUAAUAAUAUAUUGCCACUAGACCAUUAUAUUAUUUUAUUUUAUUUAUGCUAAUUUUCAGUCCAAAGGGGUCUCAGCCGAAGUCAAACUGCCAGACUGCUCCCAACUCAUCAUAUUCAAGAUUAGGGGAGAGAGAGAAAGAGAGAGAGAGAGAUGUGUAUGGAUUAUGAUUGGCAAUAUUGGAGAGGAGUGGUUAAUAUUAUUGGAACACCGACAACUCAUAACUUGUGAAGUUGACAAGAAAGGAAGAAGCUGAGAAGAAAUGUUGUAUUCAAAAUGCAUCGACAGACGGGUGGAUAGUGAUAUCGACAGACGAGUGGAGCUGUUCUACAAUUCAACUUUGUUUCCCAAUCCCCGGUGCCAAAAGCAAAUGAAACAAUACUACUGUAAUACUUUGUAUAUAUAAGCUAGCUCCUCACACAGCACUUGAAGUCGUUGCUGCUUAUAUAAUUUAAAUCCGUAAACUCGUAAGUUUGUAACUCAAGUGAUUAACAACAUUUACGCUUUUCCUUAAUGAAAUCAUUGCUGCUUCUAUAAUUUAAACCGAUAAACUCCUAAGUUUGUAACUCAAAUGAUUGUGGGUCAACUCACUCUACAGAAAUUUGAUGUCGGCACUGUUUGACUUUGCUGUGUGAAACAUAUAUGGGCCAGCCCACUAUACUGAUCUUUUCUGCUUUUCUGCUUUUCUGCUCUGUUAUUGCUCAUACAUAGUGGGCCUCUUGUAAAAGCCCUGUUCUGUGGUGGAGAAAAGACACACAGGAAAGAUGUGGCCAAUUUUUGUUUGUCUGCUUUUAUUUUGAAUACAAGAAUAUUAAUCUAAUCUAAAUUAUGAGAAGGGGACGUUCUAACUAACUUGAGUAUGCCUAAAUAUAAUAUAUAUAUAUUUAUAUAAUGGUCCUAGUGGCAAUAUAUUUUAGUGUUUGCUUAUUAGAGAGAGCAUAAUAAAUUUAUACCUCAAAUUCAUGUGUUGUUAGGUCUUUACCAACUUUAUUUGAGAGUUUGAAUAAAUUAUUCGCUACCUAAAAGAGCUUGUUACUCUAACAAACCCUUCAAACUUUAUUGCUCACUCUUUAGACUAUGUAUACGUAUUAUAUUAUUAUUAUCACACUCUAAUUUUAUUCUUUGAUUUUUUAGAUAUCACAUCAAAAGAGCUUUCCUUCUUUUUUUCUUUUUUUCUUUUUCUUUUUCUAAUGAAAAAGUGACAUGCGGAUGCGGGGUCUAUAUUAUGUGGUGCCGUUUUAUCAGCAAAUUUGUUAUGGGUUGGUCUGGGUUGGGGCUAGCUAGAAUUCUAGGUGGCACAGUGACUAAAAUGAACCGUGGAAUUUGAGUUUGCAUUGUUUUGAUAUCUUGUUUAUUAUAGAUUUAGGCCGAAUUUUAUCAUGAAAUAUUAUUUGUGAUUUCUGAGUUCAUCCCACCUGAUAGCCAAAAACAACAAAUUAGGAAUUGAGCUGCUUGGUUGAUUAUUUGCUUUGAACCCUUUUAUAUAAGAAGAACUCUUUAAGGGCUCGUUUAGUAUAUUGGAUUAUUUGCUUUGAACCCUUAAAAUAUAUAUAUAUAAAAAGGAAACAUCGAACACUUUCUACUCCUCACCUAUCGUUCUUAAAUAAAAAAUAAAAAAUUUAUCCUCCAAAAAAAGUACUUUCUUCAUUCAAAACAAAACAAAAAAAACCUCAUGACUUCUUCUUUCUCUUAAACUCUGAUUUUCGGACCACCAAAAAGUAAGUUAGCAAAUGAGGGAUAUAAAGAUUGGAUACAUCUUAGUGGCUGACUUAAAGAGCAUGAGACAAGUAUUGAACAUAUCAAUCAUAUGAGCACUUGGAUUGAUUUUCGUAUUAUAUUGCAAGAAAAAAAAAAACAAUUGAUGGAGUUGUUCAAAACCGAAUCAAGAAAGAGAAAGAGCAUUGGAGGAACUUAUUAAAAAUAUUAAUUUCAAUUGUGAAAUAUCUCGGAAAAUAUAGUUUGGCUUUUCGUGCAAGUAAUGAGAAGAUCCACGAUAUUAACAAUAGAAAUUGUAAAGGAGCCACUAGUAUAGUGGUUUGGAAUAUUUACUCCCUCAAGCAAGGUUCGAGUCCUAGCAUCCGUGUUUUGUGUGUAAGUUUAAUAUGUUAUCGCCCCUUUCAAUAGGAAAGGUCCUCAAAAAAAAAUAAAAAAAUAAAAAAAUUUAUAGGGCAAGUUGAAAUAAUUGCAGAGUGGGAUCCAGUUAUGAAGAGCAUGUUCGACGUAUGGAUGAUAAAGAGACUCAUUAUCUUAGCUAUAAGAUUCAAAAUGAAUUGGUAUAUUUGUUAGCUUUUGAACUCAAAAGUGCAAUCAUUAAAAAGAUUUAAGAAACUAGAUAUUUUUCUAUGAUUCUUGAUUGUACUCCAGAUGCUAGCAACCAAGAACAAGCGAGUUUGAUAGUAAGAUGUGUGGAUGUUUCUACUAAUCCAAUAAAGGUUGAAGAAUUUUUUUGAAAUUUUGGAUUGUGAUUGAUGCAACAGGACAAGGACAUUUUGAAAAGUCGCAACUUGAUAUUGAUAAUGUGAAAGGACAAAGUUAUGACAAUGGAUCAAAUAUGAGUGGGAAAUACCAAGGUGUCCAAAGAAAACUUUUGGAUGUAAAUCCUAGAGCAUUGUACACACCUUAUGGUUGUCAAAGUCUUAACUUAACACUUUGUGAUAUUACAAACUCUUGUGGAAAAGCGAAAGGCUUUUUUGUAGUCAAACAACGUAUUUAUACAUUGUUUGUUGAUUCUACAAAUCGGUGGAAGAUGUUGAAAGAUAAUAUUAAACACUUAACUCUGAAAUCGUUGUCAGUUACAUGUUGGGAAAGUCGUAUUGAAAGUGUAAGAGCAAUAAGAUUCCAAGCUCCAUAUUUAAGAGAAGCUUUACUUCAGCUAGCAGAAAGUGGCGGUGACUCCAAAAUAACAAGUGAAGCUAAUUCUUUGGCAACAUAUGAACUUGAAAAUUUUGAGUUCUUAUUGGGGAUGGUUAUUUGUUAUGAUAUAUUAGGUGCUGUCAAUGUAGUUAGCAAAAACUUACAAUCUGUAGAUAUGCUUAUUGAUGUUGCUAUUGAUAAAGUGAAAGGGUUGAUUACUUUUUUUUGAAAAGCAUAGAGAAAAUGGGUUUACAAAAGCUAUGUGUACUGCUAACGAAAUUGCUACUAACAUGGGAAUUGACCCGGUGUUUCCUGAGAAGCGAAAAAGUUCGUAGAAAAAAAUAUUUUGAUGAGACUACUGGUGAGCCAUCCCAAUCAGUUCCUGAAUCAAAUGAAGAAAUGUUUAGAAUUGAUUAUUUCUUAUAUGUAGUGAAUUAAGCUAUUGGUUCUUUACAAAGAAGAUUUCAACAAUAUCAAGAGUAUGAUAAUAUUUUUGGGUUUUUGUUUACUUCAGAGAAGUUAAAUUCAUUGGAUGACUGCGAUUUGAAGAAUUAUUGCAGUCAUCUAGAAAGUAUUUUGAAAAAUGAUAAGUUUUCUGAUGUCGAUGAGGAGGAUUUAUUUGUUGAGUUGAAAGUUUUACGGAGGGUUUUACUAAAAGAAAAUAUCACAGCUACUGCAAUAUUAAAUUUCUUGAAAAGAUUAAAUUUUUUUCCAAAUGCAUUCAUUGCAUACAGAUAUCUAUUGACUAUGAAUGUUACUCUUGCAUCUGCAGAAAAAAGUUUUUCAAAAUUAAAAUUAUUAAAAUCAUACUUGCGAUCAACUAUGUCGCAAGAAAUAUUAAACGGACUAGCUUUGAUUUCAAUUGAAAGUGAACUUCUAGAAAAAGUUGAUUAUGAACCUUUGAUUGAUGAUUUCUCUUCUAAAAAUUCAAGAAGAUCAAUUUUCAGACAUUAGGAUUGUAAUGGCUGUGUUUUUUUUUUUUUCUUUUGGGGAAAAAGCUCUUGUAAUAGUUUUAAUUCUUCAAAUAAAGAUAGCAAAUACAAUGUGAAUGAUUUUUUGGUAGUCAGGUAUGUUUUUGUUGUUGCUUUUGUAUUUAAUGCAAUAUAAUCUAAUUUGUUAAUGACAUAUGUAUGCAACUACUCUUUAAUUUGUGAUUGCCAAAUUUUUUAAUUAAACAAAUUGCUUAUUGGAGACAGAAAGGACCUUAUAGGGGCACAAGGAGAUUAUUUUUGUACCAAACAUUUAACCUUAUCAAAUGAAAAUAUUUAAAUUUUUAUGAAUUUGAUUUCUAAUUGUCAUUACAUAUUUAUUGAUGGUGACUUUUAGUUAUAAAAAAAUUGUUUAUGACAUUAAGUUAGGACAAAUUUUUAUUUAUAGUAUUUUCGUAUUAGAUUAUGUGAGGCUCCAAUUUAAAUUUCGCAUGGAGCCCUUAAAAUUUCAGAGACAACCCUGUUCGCAGGAAAAAAAAGUAUCUCCUUACCAGUAAGAAGACAAGCAAUAUCCAUCAAGUAAUGACACUUUGGUGAGUCAAAGUGGGGUUCCGUCCAAGGAAUGACAGUCAAAACAAUAGCUUAAAAGGCAAUGGAAUAGCAAUACUUACAUGGAAAUCCAGCUACCUAUGAUAUUCAAAGAGAAAGCGCACUCCUCUAUUUAUUCUCACAAGAAGAAGAGCUAGUGAAAUGGACCAUUUCUUCAUGUUAGCAGAGGAAAGAAAAGAGGCCCACUGUGAGAAGAGAGAGUAAUUCAGUUGCUAACAAGCGCAGGUUUUUCGUUAAAUGGUUGGUGACUGACUGGUGGGUGAGAAGUGGGACAAAACCAAAGUCAUAUAUCAUGAUUCAUCAUGACCACCAUUGCAAUAUUAUUGUAUGUAACACAACAAAGUGGUGGGUAGGCACGUGCAUGGCUAGCUCAUACAUACUAUUACAUACAUAAGAGUCUUAUGACAACACUAGUUAGGUGAAGAUCACGUGACGCGACUUCAGCCCACACAACCUGUUGCUUUUUCUCAAUUCUAAUUCUUCAAUUAAAUCUUCUUUUCAUAUAUUUUAUUAUAUUUAGUUUAGUUUAUCAAGUGGCGGUCAAAUCUUCCCAUCGGAUUUUAUGUUCUCUUGCUCCAUUUUCCACUUUUGUCAGCUGAAUGCUCAACCAAUCUACUCCCAAUGGUUUGAUUGACCACACCAAAAUCCCCUUUCCCUUGCUCCUCUGUGAACGGAACUUGCACAUCUGCUGAAAAAUUCUUGAGUUUACAGACGUAUAUAAUUAAGAUGUCGCCAAAAAAGUUUUACUCAUAAUUAUUAUUUAUUAUUAGAAUGGCUCCCUUUAUAAUUUCCGUAAAAAACUCAAUACAAAAUUGGCUACACAGCCAUCAUUGCAUUUAAUAUUUACCCCCAAGAAAGAUUGUGACAUUCUAUUUCGGUCCAAGGCCUUGUAUGGUUUGUACAAGUGACGCGAUGCAUGAUUUUUAAAACAACUCCAAAUCUCCAUACAUGGACGCAUCAAAUUACUUUAUAUACAUAUAAUAAAAUGAAUUAAUUUGUACAAAAUUCUUCUGAAAUUAUGUACAAUCUGUGUGCUUGAAACCUCCUAAUAAAAAAAUUAAAACAAAGAAAGCCAAAAGGGUUUGGUAGCUGUGCAGCUAAUGAGACUGUAAGAGCUCACUCACGAGCCAUGAGGUAGUUGGAGCGGUCCCCUUAAUUUUAACACUUAAAAACUCAAUUUUUAUUUUUUUUGUCAAUAAAAACUCAAUAUAUAAAUCACACGCCCUAAACAACAAUUUAAACAUCAAAUUCCUUUUCUCUCCAACACCAAAACCACACAAACAAACAGACCUAACACAUUGAACAAGCAUGGCUCCUGCUACUACUCUCACCUCCAUAGCAGGGGAGAAAACCCUGCAACAAAAAUUUGUCCGGGACGAAGAUGAGCGCCCCAAGGUUGCCUACAACAACUUCAGCAAUGAAAUCCCGAUCAUUUCGCUUGCCGGGAUCGACGAGGUGGAAGGCCGCCGGGCUGAUAUUUGCAAGAAGAUUGUGGAGGCUUGUGAGGAUUGGGGUAUUUUCCAGAUUGUUGAUCAUGGAGUUGAUACCAAGCUCAUCUCGGAAAUGACCGGUCUCGCCAGAGAGUUCUUCGCUCUGCCCUCGGAGGAGAAGCUUCGUUUUGACAUGUCCGGCGGCAAAAAGGGUGGUUUCAUCGUCUCCAGCCAUUUACAGGUAACCCAAAAUAGAAUUCACGAAUCACAACUCCGAGUCUCUUGCUUUGAUUGAUACCAUAAUAGAAAAAAAAAAAAAAUAUAUAUAUAUAUAUAUAUAUAUAUAUAGACGGAAGAUUAAUUUUUAUUUUAAACACGUAGUUUAUUACUGUUUUUGAAAACUUAAGCCAUUGAAUUAUGAUUUUAGGUUUUAAUAAGAUUUUUGAAAGCUGAAGCUGUUAGAACAUGAACGGGUCAUUGUUUUAUAUUGUAACACAUUUGGACUAUAAUUUUAGGGAGAAGCUGUGCAAGAUUGGCGCGAAAUUGUGACAUACUUCUCAUACCCAAUCCGGCACCGGGACUAUUCGAGGUGGCCGGACAAGCCGGAAGGAUGGAGAGAGGUGACACAGAAGUACAGCGACGAGCUGAUGGGGCUGGCAUGCAAGCUUUUGGGGGUGUUAUCAGAAGCCAUGGGACUGGACACAGAGGCAUUGACAAAGGCGUGUGUAGACAUGGACCAAAAAGUUGUGGUCAAUUUCUACCCAAAAUGCCCCCAACCCGACCUCACCCUUGGCCUGAAGCGCCACACUGACCCAGGCACAAUUACCCUUUUGCUCCAAGACCAGGUUGGUGGCCUCCAGGCUACCAGGGAUGAUGGGAAGACGUGGAUCACCGUUCAACCAGUGGAAGGAGCCUUCGUGGUCAAUCUUGGGGACCAUGGUCAUGUGAGUAUUUAUGAUUUACAUUGUCACUUAAAUCGAAUUAAUUAUAUUAUACAUAAUUUACUGUCACAUUAUAAUGUAGAUAUGAGUUACGUCAAUUUGAUCUACUUUUUCGUACGUUAUCAUGGUGGUAGGCAGUGGUCAUUUUAUUUAUGUGAAUAAUGGUGAUAGGGACCUAUGUUUAUAUCUUCCUUAUAUUUAGUAGUUUGUUGAAAUAUUGAUUAUGAAACAAUGAAAAUGACACGUGUACAAUUGCGCGUGUUGUUGGGAGUCCAAUGUAACAUAAGAAAAUGUAUAUUGUUUAUUUUCGCACGCAUAUAUAAUUAGAAAUCACUCACAUCCGCAUAAACGAGUAACAUUCUUUUAUUAGUAUUCAUUUCUCUGAAUUAAUUUAUAGCAUUUAUGGAAAAUAAAAUCACGGGUUUGAGUCAAUUUAAUUGAUUGGUUUUGUACACAAUUGUAAUGUGAGCAGUUUCUGAGCAAUGGGAGGUUCAAGAAUGCUGAUCACCAAGCAGUUGUGAACUCAAACAGCAGCAGGCUGUCCAUAGCCACAUUCCAAAACCCAGCUCAAGAAGCUACAGUCUACCCACUGAGCAUCAGAGAGGGAGAGAAGCCCAUUCUAGAGGGGCCAAUCACCUACACAGAGAUGUACAAGAAGAAGAUGACCAAGGACCUUGAGCUUGCCAGGCUCAAAAAGCUGGCCAAGGAGCAACAAUUGCAGGACUCGGAGAAGGAGGGCAAGCCAAAGGAUGAUAUUUUUGCUUAGCCACCUCAGUUUCUCUCAAAGCUUGCUCUUGUUAUGCUACUGGAUACUUGUACCUUUGCCGUCUAGUUCUUCUAUGUGCUUAGCCAGUGGAUGAUAUUUUUGCUUAGCCACCUCAGUUUCUCUCAAGGCUUGCUCGUGUUAUGCUACUGGAUACUUGUACCUUUGCCUUCUAGUUCUUCUAUGUGCUUAUAUAUGCAAUUUGCUUAAUUUGUGUGUUUUGGGGCGUUGGAAAAGUUUGGUCAAUUUGUGAGUCAAUUUGUGAGUCAUAUUUUAUGUUAAAUUAAUAGAAAAAUAAUUUCUACUAAGCACAUGCUCUAUAAAAUUAUUAGAGCAGUGAGCUCGCUCCUUUAGGCCAUCUCCAGUCAUAAGGCUAAAUGUAGACCAUAGCUAAAAAUUUGGCCCUUCAAAAUAUUAAUUUUUUUUAAAAUAGUACAGGGCUAAAUUUUUUCAUCUCAAGCCAUGCAGGGCUAUAUUUUUGGGUUCUUCUUAUUUUAUUAUUUUGAGAAAAACUACGGUACAACACUCAUACAUUCCAUGUAUAACAAGAUUUCUGAUAAGAUUUUGUGUCCACAUGACACGUCUUAUCCUGAAUGAAUCUUAAUAAUUUUUCGGGCUACGAUUUUUGAGUGACACGUGUUGAAUUUUUUAUAAUUUUUUCUUAAAUAACACAAAUUGAAACAUUUGAAACAUUUGAAACAUUUAAAAAGUAUGUGUGAAAACAUGAAUUGAAAACAUUUUAAACAUUUUAAACAUAAUUGAAAACAUUUUAAACAUUUUAAACAUGAAUUGCAAAUAUUUUAAACAUUUUAAAACAUUUAAAACAUGAAUUGAAAACAUUUUAAACAUGUUAAACAAGAAUUGAAAACAUUUUAAACAUUUUAAAACAUUGAAAACAUAAUUUUUCGGGCUCCAACAGUCAUGACUAGUAAUUUUUUAUAAUUUUUUCUUAAAUAACACGAAUUGAAAAUAUUUAAAAAGGUGACCACACUUUUUUUUUAAAAUUUAAAAAAGGAUGGGUUUCAAUGGUCUGUGACCUCCAACGGUUAUGACCAUUAAUUUUUUUUAUAAAUUUUUCUUAAACAACAUGAAUUGAAAAUAUUUAAAAAGGCUUUUAUAUAUAUAUAUAUAUAGCUGACGUUAUCGAUGACGUAAGCACUUUUAAUAUUGGCUAUUGGAUAUGCUCACACUUGAUGAUUUAUCUUCUUCAAAAGCAUAUGCAUGGGGUUCACAAAAAAUUUAGCCUAGGCCAAAGUUGGGCUAUGUGGCCCAGUUAGAGGGCUAAAGGGCCAAAUGUGGCCCUCCAAAUUUGACCACAAUUUUGUUUAACUUAUAAUUGAACAUAAAUUUUGUAUUAUUUUAAGGCUAUAUUUGAAAUAUACCCCAUAACUAGAGAUGUUCUUAUACUAAGUUCGAACUCACCCCAACUACAAAGCCAACAGGCCCCAUCAUUAACUAAUGCGGAGAAGAUGUAGUAUAGUGAUAAUUAAAUGAAGGUACUGGCGGAUCAGGAACUUUUUUGUGAUGGAAGGGUGGUGAGGUUUUGGAGAGAGAGAGAGAGAGAGAGAGAGAGAGAGGCGGUCAUAGUGCAUGGUGGGGUUUUGGCUUGGAGAGGAAUAAUGGUGAUAAUUUGGGUAGGGGUUUAGCGAAAGUUGGGGGACCACUUCAAUCAAUAACUCAAUUGAUAAUAAAAUAUCUUUAUAAUUUAAACAAUAUCAAUGUCAUUUAUAAGUUAUAGAAAGAAUAGCAUUACAAUUAACUUAUAAUUAUUGCCGAUGAUGUUUUAUAUCAUGAAAAUGUUGCCUUAUCAAAAAAUUGAAAUUGGCAUUUGCUAAAUAAGAAGGAAAAAAAAAAAAAAAACCAUGAUACUUAUUUUGAAUUGCCGUUUGAUCAAGAAGAAAAAUAGAGCGGCACUACCAGACCUAAAUUUGCAGGUUGGAUGGCAAUCUUUUAUAAGAAGUUGGUUUUUUAAUUAUAUAUAUAUAUAUAAUUUUAAAUCUGUUUAAAAAAAUUGAAUAAAGCCUUUGCAGCCCACGAAUUGCAACCCUUUUUAAUCUGUUUAUAAUCAAUCCUUUUUUAAAAGCCUUUGCAUUGCAUACCUUGGGUUGGACUCGGAUUAAAAUGCUACUAACAAAUCCAGCUUGUACUAGCUUGGAGCUGACUUAUGGGUUGGACAUGAGUCGUGACCCAAUCACAGCCCAUAUAAUCCAUGUAAGGAUUAUAGCGGGAAAAACUCACACAUAAAAACAGAAAAAACCAAACCAAAACAAAAUAAAAAGACAAACAUAACCCAGUAAGCUUCUUUAUAGCAGGAAAAUCUAGUUACCAAAGGUCUUUAAAAAAUUGCCAAUGAGGGUUGGUUGAGUUGGUAAGGAUCGUUCUCUUCGCUAUUAAAGUCUAGAUUCAAGUUCCGCUGCCGACAAUCCCUCUUAGUGAGUAAUCUGUAAAAACUAAAAAAAGAGCUAAGAUUCCCUAGAUUUUUUAUCAUAAAAAACGAAGUCUUUAAAAAGUCACGAGCUAAAACUUUUUUUUGGGUCCAUUGAGAACCAAGUAUUGUAUCUAAAAAGUUUAAAUCACAUGCUAAAUUUGUGAAGCGCACGCACCAUCACACAUUACAAACUCAUCUUUUCUUGAGAUCGGUGUUGGAUUGGACCUUGUCAAAGUGUAACUUUAAUUUCUCUAUUUACAAUUGUUCGUAGGAAUCUCUUUCAGAUAAUUUAUCACAAACACCAAAAAAUAAAAAAAAUAAAAAUCAUAAUUGAAUUUCAAAACUCAUAAUGACAUCUCUAAAUUCAAUAUUAAAGAAUUGUAAACUUGCUAUAAUAAUAUUAAAGAUGCAUUUGGCGCUUAAUUAAUUUUGUCUCCUAAUUAGUUUCAGUGGUGUGUGAAUGAGAUUAGGCUUUUUAUAGAAUUUGGUGAUGAAAGCCGCAUAUUAAAAAAGUAGGAGAUUCUCCAAUCUCCUUCCCAAAGCCAAACACAAAAGCUAUGUGAAAGCCAACGACACACGCAUGUACAUGUUUAUAUUGUAUAUAUGUCGAUCGUUUCAAAUUUUGAAGUGGAGACUGGAGAGUGAGACUUACAACAAGUCUUGUUACUUGACUUAAUUUCUAGGCUGAUAAAGUUUCUAAUUAACCAACUGUAAAAUUUCCUAUUUUUACUUUAACAUACGGAAUUCGCAUUUUAUUGUAGGGGAAAAUAUUUGAAUUUAUUUUUUUGGUCGAAAGGGGAUAUUCAAUAAAACUAGAACUUCACUCAAAACGGAGAGAGCACAGAAUUACAAAAUAAGCAACUCAGUAAAAAAGCAUAGCAGAACAACUUCGAGUAAACCUAAUCGAAUCGCUUUAUCUAAUUAUUAGAGAGUUUGAUUGACCUAAUAAUGAGCAGAUUUUAAGUUUAAAAAAUCAUAAAUUGCUAUGUACAAAUUGACUUACAGGUUGUAACUAAAAUUAAAAAAUAAACUUAAUUUUAAAUUAACAUGACCGAACUUAAUUUUGAGUUAACGUGAUCAGACAACCUGACUCAAUUUUUUCUUGAACUGUUGUGGAUAGUUAAGAAGAUGCAUAUACAGAAUGCCACGUGCACCACCGGCACAUCACUGCUUGAUUGCGUGUGUUUGUCCACAUCCACAUGUACAAAUAUUUUACGGGGCGCUAGCAAACCUCCAAUAAAAGGCGAUUGGUUUGCUUUGCUUUGCCUUUAUAAUAUUGUGAGUGCGAAAAAAAACCAAAUUGUUGUGUUCAUACUGCCAAAAGUCCUUACUUCUUCAGUUGAAAAUUGUUUACUUUUUUUGUUUUGCCUUUAUCACUCCGCAAAAGUUGAAAAGUGUUUUUGAGAAUUAUUGGUUUGACUACGGCCCAGGCCAAUGCACACAUAUGCUUGCUGGUCAAAAUAAAAUAAAUAUAAAGAAAUAAAUAGAGCUUAUAUGAUAACAAAACUCAUUUUUUUUAAAAAAAAUGUGAAGAAAAAUAAUACUAAACUAAUUUCCAGCUGAUUCUAACAAAUUAGAUCAUUAAUAAAAAGAAAAUUAUUUUCAUAGAUUAAAACCGAAGUUUACUUUAGUCGAUUUCAUGAGUAACAUAUCAAAUUCCAUCAAUCGAAUCGCUUAAAGGAAUUCUUGGUUUCAUACAUACAUUGAAAUCCAAGUCUAUUUUAGUAAGUCAAAGUUUUAUUUUUAUUUUUAUUUGUGUCAUGUCUCAAUAUUUUCUUACCAGUUUUCAGGAGUAUAUACUUAACGGUGCCAUAUUUAUUCCUAUUGUCUGUAACAAUAUUUAAAGAAUGUUAAUUAAAUUCCAUGUGUUAAGAUUUGAAUAACCUGUAUUUUGGAUUCAAUAUUCAAUGUGAAGACUUUUCUUUUUGAUAAACUGCAUUUUUUAUUUUUUGUUUUUGUUUUUUGUUUUGGUUAGUGGCAAGAGCACUAGAUCAUCCAUCCAUUCAAUUGACUAUGUCAUACACCAGAUAUAAUUUAAAAACUCAGGAUAAUCCUCCAACCAACCAACCAAACAAGAAAUCAUUUAUUUAGUUUUCAAAGUAAUAUGACUUUUUUUGGCUAACGUUCUCUGGGGUGUUAAUUAUAUCAAUUAUUUCGUCAAAUUAAGGGUUAUUUUCGUCUAUCUAAAGUUAGGAUUUACUUUGACCCAUAUUCACUAUGGCCCUUGUCUCAUAAUUAUCCCUUCAACUAUUUCUGAUAAACUAGAUCCCAACCCAGUGCUCAUGCCUAUUUGUGACAAAUUGACAUUUGAGAGUUUAUUCGCAUGAAACUAAAGUUUAAGAAACCUAACAAAAGACUCACUAGUGUAGUGGUAUAGAGUAUUUAUUUUCUCAGACAAAGUCCUGACAUCCGUGUAGUGUGUGUGAGUUUAGUAUGCUAUCGUUCCUCUCAAUAAGAAAUGUCCUGAAAAAAAAACAAAAAAACGUUAAAGGAAGCUCAAAUAUUACACAUUCACAUUUGAGUUUUUGGAGAUGUCCAAAGACCAAGUCCACACACAAAACAAGUCUGACGCCGACUUUAUCAAGUCUCCAUGCUCACUGUCACAGGCUCACUCACACCCUUCACACCAUUGCUAAUUACAGUUUUGCCCCCACAAUUUUCUCAAUUAAUUAUGAAUUUUUAUUUUUUACUUUGAUCAAAAUCAGUUUCAAAUUUGAGUGGGUCAAGCCAUGUAUGCAAUUUUCUACUUCUCACAAGUAAAUUAUGAAAGCACUUUUUGAAAUUGCGGUCUUAAACCAAUUUUCUUCCAACACAUGCACAAGAAUGUUUGCGCCUUUACCCCAUUUUUAUUCAAAGCAACAAGUAUUAAAUAUACAUUGGUCACACAUUUAAAGUAGGUUUAAAUGUGAAAAUGGUCUCUAUGUUUUACUUAUUUGGUCAAUUUAAUUUUUGUGUUUUUAAUUUGACUAAUUUAGUUCUUGUAUUUUACUGCGUUAGUCAAUAUUAGUUUCCUCUUCCUUUCCUGCUCGAUUCUUUUUUAUCUAUUAAUCAUUGUGAUGUUAAAAUUGAUCUUUUAUUUUUAAAUUAAAAUUUUAUGUUUCCUAAAUAAUUAGAGAUUUUUUAUUGGUUUAAAUAAUAUUUAGAAAUUCUUUCACUAUCCGCAUUCAUUAUGGAACGUUGCACUCCUUGACUAUAAUGGCUUACAACAACUGUUUUUUGAUACAUGGGUUAUGCAGACAAGAAAACCGAGGCGGGGGGGUUAGAGAGACAGAGACAGAGAGAGUGGCGGUGGUGACUGGGACUGCUGAUGUUGGCUAUGGUAGUGGUGGUGGUGGCGGUAGCAUGGGAGAAGAUGACAUAGAGGUUUGUUGGGUUUCUAGAUUUUUUUAUUUAUAUUUUAUUAUUUUAUUUGUAAACCUAACUCAAUAAAAAAAUUAUUAAUUUUUUUAACGGUAGUUUGAUAAAAUGAACAAUAUUAAUUAACGAAAUAAAACACAAAGACUUAAUUGUCCAAAUUAAAAUUAAAAACCAAAGUGACUAAAUAAACCUUUAAAGUAACAGACUGUUAAUUUGAUUUUUGCAGGGUGUUCGAUACAUUAUCGACUUUGUCAAUGCAACUUUUUUAUAAAAAAAAUUUAAAACAAAGGAUGAACGCCCCCCCUGCAUAGAAAAUUCUUGACGAGUCAUAUGCAUGAGACAAAUAGUAUAUUAUACCAUAAAACUACCCCAAGUUUGUAGUAGACAGACAUGUACCCCAUCAUGGUCCCUAUAAAAAGUCAUUGUCGCAAUAAUAACCACAUAAAAUAAAAUAUAAUUUUAGGCAAUAAUUGAGGGGAGACCAACAACCAAUGAUCCUUGUUAGAACAUGAAUUUAAAAAAAUAUAUAUAAGCGAUAUUUUAACCUAAUUUAAACUAUAGAGAAAGAGAUUCAAACUCGGGUACAGAGUGUAGAGCACAUCCCUUCUAACCAACUUAGCUAAAAACAUGACCAUUUGAACUCAGACCUUUUAAUUUCAAGAUAACCCUUUGUUAAUUACAAAUCAACCGAUGUUGAGGUGAAGUAUAGAUAAUGUGGCCAAGGUGGCUGCUUAAUUACAAACAUACAUUUAAAUUUGUUUUGACAAUAUUGUUUAUAAACUUAUAUUCGAAAAUUGGAAUCUUUAGGAUUCAAGACACAAUUAGUUUGGCUAAGUUUAUAUAAAUUGUCUCGGUCAAACAAUUUUAUAUAGUUUACAUGAAACAUUUCCAUGAGCUUCAUUAUCCGACUUGCCAUGCCGUCAAGGUCAGGCUCCCAUCAAGUUAAUACUUUUUGUGGCCUUUGAAUCUCAGCCACAGACAGUCGUCUCAUUUUUUUCUCUGGAUUCGUCUGCCCUUUCAGUGAGGGAACCUAGCUAACUAUGGCUGAGAUUCAUUGCCCUAUAUGCAUUGAUUUCUGUCACGAAAAAAAAUACUUGUGUUCAGCUACUGCAACCUACUACAUUUGGAGCAAAAGAAAAAAAAAAUGCACGAGUCGAGGAGGGUUUGACUAGAGUAAGUAAAUAGCUCGAUUAAUAGGUCAAGGAUUCAAUUUUCCUCUCAUACGAAAAAGAAAAAGAAAAAUCAAUGCAUAUGUUGUCUUUUCUCAUUGAGAAUACUCAACUUAAUUACCCUAAGCUAUUAUUUGGCCAUCAUUUU